rnacentral:lncRNA from 1 species
AGCAGAGGGGACAGCCAGCCGAGAUUGCACCGCGGAUGACCCCUUUGGUCCCCGUUUGGGAUCUCUGUUGCUGUACAUGUAAAUGUUUACCCGUUUCAUGUGCUGGAUGGUGGCUUGGCUUGCCGUUGUACAGGCGGGGGGAACUUGUGCUGUUAGCUCAGGUGUAAACAAACCAGUGGGAUGUGCUGUUAGUUUGGGUUUAUCUGUAGGGAUACAUACCAGUCACCCUGUCGACUCUGAACAUAAGUAACUGUUUAUCUGUUGAACUUGGCAACUGUUAUCUCCUGUGUUUCAUGUGCCUGUGGCCGUGGUGGUGUUAUUUAAUCUUUGUGGUACUCCUAGUUUACCCGUUUGCCCAGUGUUGAACCUAGGCCAGGAAUUUCCUGGCGUUCCAACCUCGGCAUGGUAAUUGGCACGCCCAGUUGGUGUUGUAUACAUCACCACAAGGCUUCUUCCUUGCACGACAAGGAAAGAAGUUGGCAAUGGCCUAAAUACGUAGUAAAAAUCGUAAUUCAUGUUUAUGCCAUCUGAGUUCAUCCUUCACUAAAUUAUGGUCGCACUCCUGCUCUUUUAUGCCUUGCUUCUCAGGUACUGGACCGGAUUCCCAUCGCGCCCAGUCUAACCGCCGGCGAAAUCGACCCUCUCUCCUCCCUGGUUCAGGUGCGUGCUGUGAGCUCUUCCGCCAUUUCUGGUGGUGCCUGCUCUGCCUUUCCUUCCUACCAUUUCCUCACGCAACCAUCUAAUAUGGCCGGGGCGAUGGUGAGCGCCGCCACGGGGUCCUUGGGGCCGGUCCUGGAGAAGCUGGCCGGCAUGCUGGGGGGCGCGUGCGUACGUGGCGAGGUGAUAGUUCCUCAAGCCAGAGCUCGAGCACAUGGGCGCAUUCCUCGUAAGGCUGUCCCGGGUGGAGGACCCCGAAGCAGCUGAAGGCGGCGUCCAUUGUGGGGUUUGGUGGGAUGGGCAAGACGACUCCUGCCAACCAAAUCUACCACUCGUUUGGAGAGCAAUUCAAGUACCGGGCUUUCGUGUCCGUCUCUCGAGACCCUGAGGCGCUGAAGGUUCUGAGAGGUAUUCUGAGCCAACUGAGCAAGCUAGAGCACAGUGGCACUGAAUCUGGGGAUGAGAGACAACUCAUUGACAACAUUCUAUAUUUCCUUCGAGACAAAAGGUAUGAAGCUAUAAUCAUCACCCCUAUGGCUAAUCCAUCAAUAGGAACUUUGGUCAUGCGCACUUUAGAAACAUUACAGUCUAUGACUAAAUUUACAACCAAAUUCAUGUGGCAGGUACUACAUUGUGAUUGAUGACGUAUGGAGCGUAGAGACAUGGGAGAUUAUCAAAUGUGCAAUUCCCAGAAACAGAUUUGGUAGUAGAGUAAUCACGACAACGCGUAUAAAGGCAGUGGCCGAAUCAUGCUCCUCCACAUAUGCAGACCAUGUUUAUGAAAUGAGGCCUCUUAGCGCCGUGCACUCAAAGGGGUUGUUCCUCGAGAGANNNNNNNNNNNNNNNNNNNNNNNNNNNNNNNNNNNNNNNNNNNNNNNNNNNNNNNNNNNNNNNNNNNNNNNNNNNNNNNNNNNNNNNNNNNNNNNNNNNNNNNNNNNNNNNNNNNNNNNNNNNNNNNNNNNNNNNNNNNNNNNNNNNNNNNNNNNNNNNNNNNNNNNNNNNNNNNNNNNNNNNNNNNNNNNNNNNNNNNNNNNNNNNNNNNNNNNNNNNNNNNNNNNNNNNNNNNNNNNNNNNNNNNNNNNNNNNNNNNNNNNNNNNNNNNNNNNNNNNNNNNNNNNNNNNNNNNNNNNNNNNNNNNNNNNNNNNNNNNNNNNNNNNNNNNNNNNNNNNNNNNNNNNNNNNNNNNNNNNNNNNNNNNNNNNNNNNNNNNNNNNNNNNNNNNNNNNNNNNNNNNNNNNNNNNNNNNNAUUUGUGAUGAUAUAUUGAAGAAAUGCGGCGGUUUGCCGCUGGCGAUUAUUACCAUUUCUGGCCUACUGGCGAACAAAGCUCAGACCAUGGUUCAAUGGGCCCAAGUGCAAAGUUCCAUUGGUUGUGCACAUCAAAGAUAUCCAAGUGUUGAAAGAAUGAUAAAGAUACUAUCCCUUAGUUACUUUGACCUCCAUCACGAUCUGAAAACUUGUCUAUUGUAUCCAAGUAUAUUCCCAGAGGAUUAUCCCAUUGAGAAGAGCCGUCUGAUAAGAAGAUGGAUCGCAGGCAGAGGGAUUUAUUCAAGGAAGGAGCGGGCACACUACGUAUGAACUGGGGGAGAGGUGCUUCAAUGAGCUGAUCAACAGGAGCCUGAUCCAACCAUGGCAUAUAAAUAGGUACAGGGAGGUGACAGUAUGCCGAGUUCAUGACACAAUCCUUGAUUUCAUAGUGUACAAGUCUGUUGAAGAGAACUUUGUCACCCUACUUGGUGUUCCAGAGCUUACUGGUAGGCCACAUAACAAGGUUCGUCGAUUAUCUCUCCAGCACAAGAGCAAUGAAGAUGUUCUUUUUGAGAUUACUGUUAGGCCACAUAAUCUCAAAAAGAAAAAAAGCAAUGGAGAUAUCCUACGACCAAACUUGAUUUAUUCUCAUGUUCGAUCUCUUACUGUUUUUGGGCGUUCGAUGCGAAUCCCUUCUCGGUUUAAAUCCAGAUUUGUGCGGGUUUUGGACUUGGAAGGCUGCCACAUGUUAGCAGGCUAUCUUAACAACAUAUCUAGCUCAUUUCAACUCAAGUACCUUAGCCUCAGAAACACACUUAUUACUGAGCUCCCGGAACAAAUCGGCGAACUGCGGGAUCUAGAGACACUGAACCUCGAAGGCACGUUCAUAACUGAAUUGCCAGCAACCAUCGCUCGACUUCGGCACUUGGUGCAUCUGUUGAUAAAUAGAGGGGUUAAGCUACCGGAUGGAACUGGGAACAUGCAAGGAUUAGAAGAGCUGAAAGUAAUUAGUUUAUUUGAGCAGCCAACUGGCUUCUUCCAGGAAUUUGGUCUCCUAACAAACAUGAUAGAUGUGAGCAUGUUUUGGGACAUUCCGAACAGGAACUCGAGAAGUUAUCUUGGAAAGAGAAGAAGGGAUCAGAGUUCAUUUGAAACUUCUGAUGUGCACCUGAAUAAUGCAGUGUCUUCCCUCUGUAAGCUGUGCACAUGCAAUCUUCAGUCUCUGUCCCUUGAUACCACUUUCAGUAUCGCAUUCAGGUUUUCCCUCAUUGAUCAAAAGCGGUAUCACCAUAUCACAGACUCCAGGUACAACUCAGUCACAACAGUACCAUGUUAAUUUUCGAUGAAAAUACCAUACUAUGUGUUCCUUUGGGAUGCUUCAUGUAUAGGAUAUAUUCUUCUUCUCUGUCUUUCUAGGAGGCUCCAAGCACCAGCUAGCUUCAUGGUCAAGCCAUGGCCACCUUUUCUUCCGAGAGAAAAGACGAAUGCCAUCCUUCCCUUGUAGUGGGUCUGGAUUCCAGUUGGAGCUCUGUAUGAACACUGGUGUAAAUUAACAGACCAGACCAGUGGGAUCUGCCAAUGUCACCCCACCUGUCGACUCUUCUGAACAUAAGUAAACUUUUGAUCUGCCGAAACUUGGCAAGUACGUACUGUCUUAUCCGAUGCGUGUCAGCUCAUCAACUAGAGAAUAAGAUUCUUGCCUUCCUUCACGGUCAUCAAGAGUACACAUACCGUAGGCGCAUGCCUUGCUCUUGUAUACAAAGAAACAAUCUUCCUUGUAUUGCUCUUUGUCUGCGAUCAAGCGCGAGCGCCGCAGCCACCCGCCGUCCUCCUCCUGCUGCCCCAAGAACGCGGGAGCGGGCCUCCGCCCGCCGCUGCCCGCAGGCCUUCCUCUGCUGCCACACGGACGGACGUCGGCCGCCGCCGCCGGUGCUCCUCUGCCUCCUGCUAGACGACAGGAUCCCGCCACCGCCGUCCCCCUGGUAGCCUGUCCUCGACUCGCCAACUAGCAAGUGCCCCACAGGUUGGUUGUUUGCAACUUGAUCGAUGUGGCUUCCAUUUGUAGCAGAGCAGCUUCGGUUGAUAAAGAUUUUAACUUCACUAGCUUUGGUAAAUAAGUUGUCUUGUGUUGGCCAUGGGCCCAUGGUGCAGCAACGCGGUCUUUUCUACUCCAGGGUUUAUUUUUUUGCUGUACACCUGCUGGGUUAAGCAUGCAAAUGCCCGCUGUACGUAGGACAAUGACAUCCAUGACUAGCGUGCAAGUGCAACAAUAAGAUUGGCCCUUUCGCGGGAAGUAAUAAUCACGAUCAUAACCGGUAACAGUAGAUUACUGGCUCAUGGUAACUUUCUUCUAGAGUAGGUCAGUUCUGAAUAUCACCUGACCUGGUUAUGCUCAUUCCACAGCAAAUGAAGUCAUGUACAGUAAGUACAGUAGUACUGUAAAUAUGUAUCACGGCCUCAAAAACCCUCCAGCGGUUUAUCGCUGUGGUAGACCAUUCGUUUUCGAUCUCACGGUGAAGAGAAAAGGCGUGUCUCAAAAUCCUCCGCGGGUAGCCCGCUGCAAACUACGUAUCCGAUUUGCUAGCCCACACCACUGUAAUGGUUUCCCCAAACGUGUAAGGGCAUUUCUAACUGAUCCCUAAAAGUUAGCAGAGUAUAUACCUUACUGAAAUAUAUACAGUCCACUAAAAUUUCGCCACACCUAGCUGAUCUCCUAAAGUUAGCGGAGUAAAACUAAAUUUGCACAGAUUCAAUCAAAUUUGAACCGAAAGAUGAUGCAUUUAAAUAUAAGUUGAACGGAUCAUAACAAUUUAUUUACAAGGCCAACAGACUCCCGUAGGGAGCUUUAUUACCGGUUCGUAAGGGCCUUUAGUGCCGGUUCUGCAACCGGCACUGAAGGGUGGAGACUAAAGCCCCCCUCCCCUCCCCCCUUUAGUACCAGUUUGGCACGAACUGCCACUAAAGGCCCACCACAUGGCGUGAGCUCGCGUCAUGGUAUGGGGGACCUUUAGUACCGGUUGGUGUUACCAAUCGGUACUAAAGGUAUUUUUUUUGAAAAUUUUGGAAUUCUGAAUUAUUUGAUGAUUUAGUCACCCCUCUUAACUGCUCAAGUGUGGAUCACUCAUUCCAAAUUGUCUAACUUUCCGGUCGGUCACCCAUCCUCUCACUCCAGCCUGAGCAUACUUAACUUCGGAGUUCUAACACCCUACUUUCCAAGUCUGCACUUGUUGUUUUCCUGACAAAUGUAAGCUGUCAAUCCUAUUAACCCUCAGUAGUUUAGCUUGAGCAUUAGGUCACAUGUUUCACCGUUUGAGUUUGAAACUAUUAUACUAAAAAACAGUAAUUAUUUAGUAACACUAAUAUUUCUUGAAUAAGUUUGACCAUAGUUUGACCACAGUUUGACCAUAGUUUGACCAGAUUUGACCAAAAUUCAAAAAAUUGAAAUAAUUAUUUAGUAAUACUAAUAUUCUUGAAUAAUUAUGUAGUAACAUUAAUACUUCUUGAAUAAGUAGUUUGACCAGAUUUAACCAAAAUUAAAAAAAACUAAAAUUUGAGCAUAUCUUUUUUUCUUUUUGGAAUUUGAGGAUUCUAAAAUAUUGCAAAUCGGCCAUAGGCCGUCAAAAUCUAAUGCGGAUUUUCGUGCUGAACAUUUUGAUAUAUUAUACGUUUUUUUCCGACAUUGUAUGCAAAAGUUAUAGCCGUUUUACUUUUUCAUAACACUUUUUUUGCAAAACAUGUCCAAAUUUAAGUUUUUUAAUUUCCCUAACUAGUAGAUGUAGUAAUAUAACUACAUCUCGAAGAAUUUUAAUUUUUUAAUUUUUUAUCAUUUCCUUCUGUUUUUUUUCAAAACUGAAAUGGCGAUAGGGGGGGGGGGGGUAGAGUUUGAAAAUUGCCCUAUAGUCCCGGUUUGUGCCUCCAACCGGGACUAUAGGUCAGACCCCUUUAGUCCCAGUUUGUGGAAGGAACCGAUACUAAAGGUUAGACCUAUAGUACCGGUUUGUGCCACGAACCGGGACUAAAGGUGAUCAUGGGGCCCCAGCCUGACGCCAGCUUGCCACCACCCCUUUAGUACCGGUUCGUGGAACGAACCAGUACUAAAGGUUCAACACGAACCGACAUUAAUGCAUAGCCGUUCGAACCGGCACUAAUGGUACCAUUAGUACCGGGCCAAAAUCGAACCGGGACUAAUGUGUCUCACAUUAGGUCGUUUUUCUACUAGUGCGUGUCGCUCCUCGCGAGCGGCACGAGAGCAACCCUAGCCACCGCCGCUAGCCACCCAUCACCCCACCCGAUUCCCCUCGCCGCCGCCGGUGCACGCCGCCGGGCAAAGCCUGCGCGGCGUCGGCGGUGGUAGGGUCCUUUCAUCCCUCUCGCGAGGCAUAGUGGCGCAGGGCAGCACAGCUGGGCAGAGGAGCAUGGGCCGGCGUGGCGUCUUCGGGCUCACGGCGGCUAGAGGCAACGCGGCCGCGCCUGGGUGUGGCAGGGGCACAUGGUCUUGGCGCAAGGGCGGGCGAGCUAGGUGGCGCGGAUCUGGCGAGGAUGGGCGUGGUCACCGCGGUCGCAUGGAUCUGCCGCUCGGGUCUGGGCGCAAUCCAUGAAGGAAAUAUGCCCUAGAGGCAAUAAUAAAGUUGUUAUUUAUAUUUCCUUAUAUCAUGAUAAAUGUUUAUUAUUCAUGCUAGAAUUGUAUUAACCGGAAACUUAGUACAUGUGUGAAUACGUAGACAAACAAACGGUCACUAGUAUGCCUCUACUUGACUAGCUCGUUAAUCAAAGAUGGUUAAGUUUCCUAGCCAUGGACAAGAGUUGUCAUUUGAUGAUCGGGAUCGCAUCAUUAGAGAAUGAUGUGAUUGACUUGACCCAUCCGUUAGCUUAGCACUUUGAUCGUUUAGUUUAUUGCUAUUGCUUUGUCCAUAACUUAUACAUGUUCCUAUGACUAUGAGAUUAUGCAACUCCCGAAUACCAGAGGAACACUUAGUGUGCUAUCAAAUGUCACAAUGUAACUGGGUGACUAUAAAGAUGCUCUACCGGUAUCUCCGAUGAUGUUUGUUGAGUUGGCAUAUAUCGAGAUUAGGAUUUGUCACUCGGUGUAUCGGAGAGGUAUCUCUGGGCCCUCUCGGUAAUACACAUCACUAUAAGCCUUGCAAGCAAUGUGAAUAAUGAGUUAGUUACGGGAUGUUGCAUUACGGAACGAAUAAAGAGACUUUCCGUUAACGAGAUUGAACUAGGUAUUGAGAUACCGACGAUCGAAUCUCGGGCAAGUAACAUACCGAUGACAAAGGGAACAACAUAUGUUGUUAUGCGGUUUGACCGAUAAAGAUCUUCAUAGAAUAUGUAGGAACCAAUAUGAGCAUCCAGGUUCCGCUAUUGGUUAUUGACCAGAGACGAGUCUCAGUCAUGUCUACAUAGUUCUCGAACCCGUAGGGUCUGCACGCUUAACGUUCGGUGACGAUAUGUAUUAUGAGUUUAUGUGUUUUGAUGUACCAAAGGUAGUUCGGAGUCCCGGAUGUGAUCACGGACAUGACGAGGAGUCUCGAAAUGGUCGAGACAUAAAGAUUGAUAUAUUAGACGGCUAUGUUUGGACACCGGAAGUGUUCCAGGAGGUUUCGGAUAAAACCGGAGUGCCGGAGGGUAACUGGAACCCCCCGGAAAGUUAUUGGGCCCUUAGUGGGAUUUAGGGGAGAAAGAGGGCAGCAGCCAGGAGGUGCCCCCCCCCAAGUGAGUCCGAAUUGGACUAGGGGAGGGGGGCGCGGCCCCUCUUUCCCUCUCCCUCCCCCUCUUCUUCCUUCCCCCCUCCUAGUAGGACUAGGAAAGGAGGAAUCCUACUCCUACUAGGAGGAGGAUUCCUCCCCCCUUGGCGCGCCCUCUAGGGCCGGCCGGCCUCCUCCUCCCUCCUUUAUAUACGGGGGAGGGAGGCACCCCAUAGACACACAAGUUGAUUGUUUAGCCGUGUGCGGUGCCCCCCUUCACAGAUUUCCACCUCAGUCAUAUCGUUGUAGAGCUUAGGCGAAGCCCUGCGUCGGUAACUUCAUCAUCACCAUCAUCACGCCAUCGUGCUGACGAAAUUAUCCCUCGACCUCAGCUGGAUCUAGAGUUCGUGGGACGUCACCGAGCCGAACGUGUGCAGAUUGUGGAGGUGCCGUACCUUUGGUGCUAGGAUCGGUUGGAUCAUGAAGACGUACGACUACAUCAACCGCGUUGUCAUAACGCUUCCGCUUACUGUCUAUGAGGGUACGUGGACAACACUCUUCCCCUCUUGUUGCUAUGCAUCACCUAGAUGGAUCUUGCGUGUGCGUAGGAAAAUUUUGAAAUUACUGCGUUCCCCAACAUUGGCAUCCGAGCCAGGUCUAUGCGUAGAUGUUAUAAGCACGAGUAGAACACAAAGGAGUUGUGGGCGUGGGUAUAUACAUAUUGCUUGCUGUCACUAGUUGAUUCUUGAUUCAGCGGUAUUGUUGGAUGAAGCGGCUCAGACCGACAUUACCCGUACGUUUAUGCGAGACUGGUUCUACCGACGUGCUUCGCACACAAGUGGCUGGUGGGUGUCAGUUUCUCCAACUUUAGUUGAACCGGAUUCAAUGAACAGGGUUCUCUCUGAAGAUCAAAAAGCAAUCACUAUACCGCAUUGUGGUUUUUGAUGCGUAGGUAACAACGGUUCUUGCUCAGCCCGUAGCAGCCACGUAAAACUUGCAACAACAAAGUAGAGGACGUCUAAGUUGUUUUUGCAGGGCAUGUUGUGAUGUGAUAUGGUCAAGACAUGAUGCUAAAUUUUAUUGUAUGAGAUGAUGAUGUUUUGUAACAGAGUUAUCGGCAACUAGCAGGAGCCAUAUGGUUGUCACUUUAUUGUAUGAAAUGCAAUCGCCAUGUAAUUGCUUUACUUUAUCACUAAGCGGUAGCGAUAGUCGUAGAAGCAAUAGUUGGCGAGGCGACAGCGAUGCUUCGAUGGAGAUCUAGGUGUCAAGCCGGUGACGAUGGUGAUCAUGACGGUGCUUUGGAGAUGGAGAUCAAAGGCAGAAGAUGAUCAUGGCCAUGUCAUAUCACUUAUAUUGAUUGCAUGUGAUGUUUAUCCUUUAUGCAUCUUAUUUUGCUUAGUUCGACGGUAGCAUUAUAAGAUGAUCUCUCACUAAAUUUCAAGGUAUAAGUGUUCUCCCUGAGUAUGCACCAUUGCUACAGUUCAUCAUGCCGAGACACCACGUGAUGAUCGGGUGUGAUAAGCUCUACGUUCACAUACAACAGGUGCAAGCCAAUUUUGCACAAGCAGAAUACUCGGGUUAAACUUGACGAGCCUAGCGUAUGCAGAUAUGGCCUCAGAACACUUAGACCAAAAUGACGAGCGUGAAUCAUAUAGUAGAUAUGAUCAACAUAGUGAUGUUCACCAUUGAAAACUACUCCAUCUCACGUGAUGAUUGGACAUGGUUUAGUUGAUAUGGAUCAUGUGAUCACUUAGAUGAUUAGAGGGAUGUCUAUCUAAGUGGGAGUUCUUAAGUAAUAUGAUUAAUUGAACUUUAAUUUAUCAUGAACUUAGUACCUGAUAGUAUUUUGCAUGCCUAUGUUGUUGUAGAUAGAUGGCCCGUGCUGUUGUUUCGAUGAAUUUUAAUGCGUUCCUAGAGAAAGCUAAGUUGAAAGAUGAUGGUAGCAAUUACACGGACUGGGUCCAUAACUUGAGAAUUAUCCUCAUUGCUGCAUAGAAGAAUUACGUCCUGGAAGCACCGCUAGGUGACAAACCCGUUGCAAGAGCAACACCAGAUGUUAUGAACGUUUGGCAGAGCAAAGCUGAUGACUACUCGAUAGUUUAGUGUACCAUGCUUUACGGCUUAGAACCGGGACUUCAAUGACGUUUUGAACGUCAUGGAGCAUAUGAGAUGUUCCAGGAGUUGAAGUUAAUAUUUCAAGCGAAUGCCCGGAUUGAGAGAUAUGAAGUCUCCAAUAAGUUCUACAGCUGCAAAAUGGAGGAGAAUAGUUCUGUCAGUGAACAUAUACUCAGAAUGUCUGGGUACCACAACCACUUAACUCACCUGGGAGUUAAUCUUCCUGAUGAUAGUGUCAUUGACAAAGUUCUUCAAUCACUGCCACCAAGCGACAAGAGCUGUGUGAUGAACUAUAAUAUGCAAGGGAUGGAUAAGACAAUUCCCGAGCUCUUCGCAAUGCUAAAGGCUGCGGAGGUAGAAAUCAAGAAGGAGCAUCAAGUGUUGAUGGUCAACAAGACCACCAGUUUCGAGAAAAAGGGUAAAGGGAAGAAGUGGAACUUCAAAAAGAACAACAAGCAAGUUGCUACUUGAUGACCCACAAGUAUAGGGGAUCUAUCGUAGUCCUUUCGAUAAGUAAGAGUGUCGAACGCAACGAGGAGCAGAAGGAAAUGAUAAGCGGUUUUUAGCAAGGUAUUCUUUGCAAGUACUGAAAUAAGUGGUAACAGAUAGUUUUGUGAUAAGAUAAUCUGUGACGAGCAACAAGUAACAAAAAUAAAUAAAGUGCAGCAAGGUGGCCCAAUCCUUUUUGUAGCAAAGGACAAGCUUGGACAAACUCUUAUAUAAGGAAAAGCGCUCCCGAGGACACAUGGGAAUAUCGUCAAGCUAGUUUUCAUCACGUUCAUAUGAUUCACGUUCGGUACUUUGAUAAUUUGAUAUGUGGGUGGACCGGUGCUUGGGUGCUGUUCUUACUUGAACAAGCACCCCACUUAUGAUUAACCUCUAUUGCAAGCAUCCGCAACUACAACAAAAGUAUUAAGGUAAACCUAACCAUAGCAUGAAACAUAUGGAUCCAAAUCAGCCCCUUACGAAGCAAUGCAUAAAUUAGGGUUUAAGCUUGUGUAACUCUAGCAACCCAUCAUCUACUUAUUACUUCCCAAUGCCUUCCUCUAGGCCCAAAUAAUGGUGAAGUGUUAUGUAAUAGACGUUCACAUAACACCACUAGAGGCUAGACAACAUACAUCUCAUCAAAAUAUCGAACGAAUACCAAAUUCACAUGACUACUAAUAGCAAGACUUCUCCCUUAUCCUCAGGAACAAACGUAACUACUCACAAAGCAUAUUCAUGUUCAUAAUAAGAGGGGUAAUAAUAUGCAUAAAGGAUCUGAACAUAUGAUCUUCCACCAAUUAAACCAACUAGCAUCAACUAUAAGGAGUAAUUAACACUACUAGCAACCUACUAGCACCAAUCCCAGACUUGGAGACAAGAAUUGGAUACAAGAGAUGAACUAGGGUUUUGAGAUGAGAUGGUGCUGAUGAAGAUGUUGAUGGAGAUUGCCCUCUCCCGAUGAGAGGAGCGUUGGUGAUGACGAUGGUGAUGAUUUCCCCCUCCGGGAGGGAAGUUUCCCCGGCAGAACAGCUCUGCCGGAGCUCUAGAUUGGAUCCGCCAAGGUUCCGCCUCGUGGCGGCGGAGUUUCAUCCUGAAAGGUUGCUUCUGAUUUUUUUCUCGACGAAAGACUUCAUAUAGCAGAAGAUGGUCAUCANNNNNNNNNNNNNNNNNNNNNNNNNNNNNNNNNNNNNNNNNNNNNNNNNNNNNNNNNNNNNNNNNNNNNNNNNNNNNNNNNNNNNNNNNNNNNNNNNNNNNNNNNNNNNNNNNNNNNNNNNNNNNNNNNNNNNNNNNNNNNNNNNNNNNNNNNNNNNNNNNNNNNNNNNNNNNNNNNNNNNNNNNNNNNNNNNNNNNNNNNNNNNNNNNNNNNNNNNNNNNNNNNNNNNNNNNNNNNNNNNNNNNNNNNNNNNNNNNNNNNNNNNNNNNNNNNNNNNNGGGGGGGGGGGGCGCCCCCACCCUCGUGGACAAGGUGUGGGCCCCCUGGUCUUCAUCUUUGGCGAGGAUUUUUCAUUAUUUAUUAUAAGGUAUUCCGUAGAGUUUCAGGACUUUUGGAGUUGUGCAGAAUAGGUCUCUAAUAUUUGCUCCUUUUCCAGCCCAGAAUUCCAGCUGCCGGCAUUCUCCCUCCUUAUGUAAACCUUGUAAAAUAAGAGAGAAUAGCCAUAAGUAUUGUGACAUAAUGUGAGAUAACAGCCCAUAAUGCAAUAAAUAUAGAUAUAAAAGCAUGAUGGAAAUGGACGUAUCAACUCCCCCAAGCUUAGACCUCGCUUGUCCUCAAGCGGAAGCCGAUAACAAUAAAUAUGUCCCCAUGUUUAGAGGUAGAGGUGUCGAUAAAAAUAAAAUACAGACAUGAAGGCAUCAUGAUUAUUCUCAUAACAGCAACAUAUAUAAAUAUUUUCAUAUGAUUACUUAUGUUCAAGUGAUGACCUAUUCACGAUGCAAAAGUAUGAAUCAGAAACCUUAUUGAGAACCAACAAACUAUAACCUCAAUCAUUGAAGCAAUUGCAAUUUAUCAUAACAUCAGAAAAGAGUCUAUAUCAGAGCUAAAAAGCAAGUCCACAUACUCAACUAUCAUCUAGUCCUUCAUAAUUGCUAACACUCACACAAUACUUGUGGUUACGGAGUUUUAAUCGGAUACAGAGAAAGAUAGGGACUUAUAGUUUCGCCCCACAACAUUUUACCUCGAGGGUAAUGUCAACAAUAAUAACUCAUGCCCCCCUACAUCCAAUUAGAUAUAUCUAUCAAGAUCUUUCCAACAUGCUAGGCUUGCCAAAGGAUAAAAUGUAAAAAGGAAAGGUGAAGAUCACCAUGACUCUUGCAUAAGGUAGAAGAUAAUAAUAAAAGAUAGGCCCUUCGCAGAGGGAAGCAGAGGUUGCCAUGCACUUUUAUGGUUGGAUGCACAAAAUCUUAAUGCGAAAGAGCGUCACUUUAUAUUGCCCCUUGUGAUAUGAACCUUUAUUAUGCAGUCCGUCGCUUUUAUUACUCCCACAUCACAAGAUUGUAUAAAGCUUAUUUCUCCUACACUAAUAAUACAUAUUUAGAGCAAUUUUUAUUGCUUUGCACCGAUGACAACUUACUUGAAGGAUCUUAUUCAAUCCAUAGGUAGAUAUGGUGGACUCUCAUGGCAAAACUGGUUUAAGGGUAUUUGGAAGCACAAGUAGUAUCUCUACUUGGUGCUAAGAAUUUGGCUAGCAUGAAGGGGAAAGGCAAGCUCAACAUGUUGGAUGAUCCAUGACAACAUACUUUAUCUCAGAUAUAAGGAAACAUAACCCAUUACGUUGUCUUCCUUGUCCAACAUCGACUCUUUAGCAUGUCAUAUUUUGAUGAGUGCUCCCAAUCAUAAAAGAUGUCAAUAAUAGUAUAUUUAUAUGUGAAACCUCUCUUUCCUUAUUACUUCCUAUUAAUUGCAACGAUGACCAAAGCUAUGUCUGCAACUCCCAACAACUUUUAAUCGUCACACUCUUUCUAUGCGAAGUCAUUACUAUCAAUAAGAUCAAUAUGAACUUUUGUUCCUUCUUAUUCUUUUUCUCUUUUCUUUUAUUCACCCAAGAUCAUAGCAAGAAAAUCAAGCCCUUGACUCAACACUAAUCUUUAUUAUAUAGCUCACGAACUCAAUUACAUAGAGAGAUCAUAAGGCAAAACUCAAAACUAGAUCAUGCCAUAAACUUUAUUCUACUAGAUCAAAAUACUACUAAUAGGAUCGAACUAAGGAAAACGGUAAAGAUUAGAGUUGUGAUUGUGAUACGAUACUGGGGCACCUCCCCCAAGCUUGGCGAUUGCCAAGGGGAGUGCCCAUACCCAUGUUAUUAUGUCUCCUUCUUUGUUGUUGGUGAAAUAUUCUUGGUGAUGAUUCCUCUCAGGAUACGAUUCUCCUCCUCGAGCUUGUUGACUUGCUGCUUGAGGUCCAUUGUUUCCUUACGAAGCUUUCCUGUGACGGCUAAAGCUCCUUGCACCCAAGGGUGUUUCAUAGCUGCGGGAGAACAAGUGACACUCCUCUUCAUAUUUUCAUAAGAAAGAAAUCUAACAUUGGAAGGGAUAACCGAGUUUGGAAUAGCUGAGCUCUGUAGUUCCCCCAUCGUGAACCCAUCUCGGAAGCGAGAGGUGACUUCUUGAUCCUCCAUGGCAUCUACCCUCAUUAAGUCAGCCUCCAUCUCUUCCUCCAUUGCUGGCCCAAAGUGGUCAGGGUCGCUGUUUGCCCUUGGUUUCGGUGCCGGAUUAGAUACCCGGCUCUCCCAGGCUGACUCUUGAGAAGACAUCUUGCUCUAAUCUGCAACAGCAAUAGCUCGAAACAAAACAGAGGAUAUUUGCGUGAUACGGGAGUCAAAACCUUUGGGAGAAUAUAUAGUGAAUUUUUACCGACCAAAAUACGUAUCGUGCAAGAAAACGGAGUCCGGAAGGCACACGAGGUGCUCACGAGGUAGGGGGGCACGCCCAGGGGGUAGGGCGCGCCCUCCACCCUCGUGGGGCCCUCGUGUCCUUCCCGGACUUCUACUUAAUUUUCUAUUUUUCUAAAUAUUCCAAAACGGAGAAAUAUUUCCUUAAAAACUGUUUUGGAAUCAGUUUACUUACCGUACCACAUACCUAUUCCUUUUCGGAGUCUGAAACGUUCUGGAAAGUGUCCCUUAUGUAUUCCUCCGGGGUUACGGUUUCAAUAAUAUUGGUUUCAACAUUUAUGGGAUUACCUGAGAUAUAAUGUUUGAUUCUUUGACCGUUUACCACCUUCGGAUUUGUGCCUUCGAAGUUGUUGAUUUUUAUGGCAUCAGAAUGAUAGACCUCCUCGAUAACAUAGGGGCCUUCCCAUUUAGAGAGAAGUUUACCUGCAAAGAAAAUCUUAAACGAGAGUUGUAUAGCAAUACAUAAUCACCUACAUUAAACUCACACUUUUGUAUCCUUUUGUCAUGCCAUCUUUUAACCUUUUCUUUAAACAACUUGGCAUUUUCAUAAGCUUGGGUUCUCCAUUCAUCAAGAGAGCUAAUAUCAAAUAACCUCUUUUCACCGGCAAGUUUGAAAUCAUAAUUGAGCUCUUUAAUAGCCCAAUAUGCCUUAUGUUCUAGUUCGAGAGGUAAGUGACAUGCUUUUCCAUAUACCAUUUUAUACGGAGACAUACACAUAGGAUUUUUAUAUGCAGUUCUAUAGGCCCAUAAUGCAUCAUCAAGUUUCUCGGACCAAUUCUUUCUAGACCUAUUGAUAGUCUUUUGCAAAAUUAUUUUGAGUUCUCUAUUACUCAAUUCUACUUGACCACUAGACUGUGGGUGAUACGGAGAUGCAAUUCUAUGAUUGACGUCAUAUUUAGCAAGCAUUUUACGGAAAGCACCAUGAAUAAAAUCUGAACCACAUCAGUCAUUAAAUAUCUAGGGACUCCAAACCUCGAAAAAUAAAUUCUUUAAGCAUUUUAAUAGAAGUGUUAUGAUCAGCACUACUAGUUGGAAUAGCUUCUACCCACUUAGUAACGUAAUCAACAGCAACUAAAAUAUGCGUAUAUCCAUUAGAGGCAGGAAAAGGUCCCAUAUAAUCAAAGCCCCAAACAUCGAACAGUUCAAUAACAAGUGAAUAAUCAUAGGCAUUUCUUGACGUAUACUAACAUUACCAAUUCUUUGACAUUCAUCACAAGAUAGGACAAACUUACGGGCAUCCUUGAAGAGAGUAGGCCAAUAAAAACCGGAUUGCAAUACCUUAUGUGCAGUUCUAUCUCCCACGUGGUGUCCUCCAUAAGUUUCGGAGUGGCACUUGCGUAGGAUCUAUUCCUGUUCAUGCUCAGGUACACAACAUCUAAUAACACCAUCUACUCCUUCUUUAUAAAGAUGUGGGUCAUCCCAAAAGUAAUGUCUCAAAUCAUAGAAGAACUUUUUCUUUUGUUGGUAUGUGAAGCUAGGUGGUAUAAAUUUAGCAACUAUGUAAUUAGCAUAAUCAGCAUACCAAGGGGUACUACGAGAAGUACUUAUGACAUUUAAUUGUUCAUCAGGAAAGCUAUCAUCAAUAGGUAGUGGGUCAUCAAGAACAUUCUCUAACCUAGAUAAGUUGUCUGCAACGGGGUUCUCAGCUCCUUUUCUAUCAACAAUAUGCAAAUCAAAUUCUUGUAGCAAGAGAACCCAUCUAAUAAGUCUAGGUUUAGCAUCUUUCUUAUCCAUAAGAUAUUUAAUAGCAACAUGAUCAGUGUGGAUAGUUAGUUUAGAAUCAACAAUAUAAGUUUUGAACUUAUCACAAGCAAAUACAACUGCUAAAAGUUCUUUUUCAGUAGUAGCAUAAUUUCUUUGAGCAUUGUCUAGAGUCUUACUAGCAUAAUGGAUAACAAUUAAUUUCUUAUCAACUCUUUGCCCUAGAACAGCACCUACAACAUAAUUGCUAGCAUCACACAUAAUUUCAAAGGGUAAAUUCCAAUCAGGUGGCUGAACAAUAGGUGCAGAGACUAAUGCUUUCUUAAGUAUUUCAAAUGCUUCUACGCAAUCAUCAUCAAAGACAAAUGGUAUAUCUUUUUGUAAUAAAUUAGUCAGAGGCCGAGAAUUUUUUGAGAAGUCCUUAAUGAACCUCCUAUAAAAUCCGGCGUGACCAAGGAAACUUCUUAUGCCUUUGAUGUCCUUGGGACAUGGCAUCUUUUCAAUAGCAUCAACCUUGGAUUUAUCAACUUCAAUACCUCUUUCGGAAACUUUAUGCCCCAAGACAAUACCUUCAUUAACCAUAAAGUGGCACUUUUCCCUAUUCAAGACAAUAUUAGUUUCUUCACAUCUCUGCAAAAGUCGAUCAAGAUUGCUCAAGUAAUCAUCAAAAUAAGAUCCAUAGACGGAAAAGUUGUCCAUGAAAACCUCACAAAUCUUUUGACAAAAGUCAGAGAAUAUAGCCAUCAUGCAUCUUUGAAAGGUAGCAGGUGCAUUACAUAAACCAAAAGGCAUACGUCUAUAAGAAAAAGUACCAAAAGGGCAUGUAAAAGUAGUCUUUGAUUGAUCUUUAGCCGACACAGGUAUUUGAGAGAAACCAGAAUAAGCAUCUAGAAAGCAGUAAUGUGUAUGUUUGCAUAAUCUUUCUAGCAUUUGAUCGAUAAAAGGUAAGGGGUAAUGAUCUUUCUUAGUAGCCUUAUUUAAUUUGCGGAAAUCAAUUACCAUCCUAUAACCUGUAAUAAUUCUUUGUGGAAUCAAUCCAUCUUUAUCAUUAGGAACAACAGUAAUACCUCCCUUCUUAGGGACACAAUGAACAUGACUUACCCACUGACUAUCAACAACGGGAUAAAUUAUACCUGCCUCCAGAAGCUUUAGUAUUUAUUUUCUUACCACUUCUUUCAUUUUAGGAUUCAGACGUCGUUGAGGAUCAUGAACUGGUUUGACAUCUGCUUCCAAAUUUAUUUUAUGUUGACAUAGAGUGGGACUAAUGCCCUUAAGAUAAUCAAGAGUAUAUCCAAUAGCAGCACGAUGCUUCUUCAGAGUUUUCAAUAAUCUUUCUUCUUCAUGCUCUGAAAGGUUAGCACUAAUAGUAACAGGAUAUAUCUUCUUUUCAUCAAGAUAAGCAUAUUUAAGAUUAUCAGGCAACGGUUUAAGCUCAAACACGGGAUCACCCUUAGGUGGAGGGGGAUCCCCUCAGAUUUCAAUAGGCAAAUUGUGUUUCAGAAUAGGUUCCUAUUUAAAGAAUACUUCAUCUAUUUCCCUUCUUUCAUUCAUAAACAUAUCAUUCUCAUGGUCUAGCAAAUAUUGUUCGAAAGGAUCACUAGGAGGUACGGAAAUAGAAUCAAGACCAAUAAUCUCAUCCUUACUAGGCAAUUCUUCUUCACGGUGUUGUUUACUAAAUUUAGAGAAAUUAAAUUCAUGAGUCAUAUCAUCCAAGCCAAUAGUAACAACAUUCUUUUCGCAGUCUAUCUUAGCAUUAACAGUGUUCAAGAAGGGUCUACCAAAUAUAAUGGGACAAAAGCUAUCUUGUGGGGAACUAAGAACAAGAAAACCAGCAGGAUAUUUAGUUUUCCCGCACAAGACUUCAACAUCUCUAACAAUUCCCACUGCUGAAAUAGUAUCUCUAUUAGCAAGUAUAAUUGUGACAUCAAUAUCUUCUAACUCAGCAGGUGCAAUUUCACGCUUGAUUUUUUUAUACAAGUCAUAAGGUAUAACACUAGCACUAGCACCCAUAUCACAUAAGCCAUGAUAACAAUGUUCUCCUAUUUUAAUAGAAAUAACAGGCACGCCUACCACAGGUCUAUGUUUAUAUUUAGCACGAGGUUUAGCAAUUCUAGCAGUUUCACCGUAGAACUAAAUAACAUGCCCAUCAAUAUUAUUAGACAAGAGAUCUUUAACAAUAGCAAUAUUAGGUUCUACUUUAAAUUUCUCAGGAGGUGUAUAUGUUUUAAUAUUGCUUUUACGAACCACAGUUGAAGCUUUAGCAUGAUCCUUUAUCCUAACAGGGAAAGGCGGUUUCUCAACAUAACAAGUAGGAACAAUAGGAUCAUUAUAAGUGACAGUCUUUUCUUCAACUUUAAUUGGUGCAGCUACUUUUACUUCUAUGGGAGGAUGAUAUUUAAACCACUUCUCCUUAGGGAGAUCAACAUAAGUAGCAAAAGAUUCACAGAAAGAAGCUACUAUCUCAGAAUCAAGUCCAUAUUUAGUGCUAAACUUACAGAAAAUAUCGGUAUCCAUAAAUGAUUUAACACAAUCAAACUUAGGUGUCAUACCUGACUCCUUACCUUUCUCGAGAUCCCAAUCUUGAGAGUUGCAUUUAAUUGUAUCCAAUAAAUCCCAUCUAAAUCCAAUAGUCUUCAUCAUAAAAGAGCCAGCACAAGAAGUAUCGAGCAUGGUGCGAUUAUUUUCAGAAAGCCGAGCAUAAUUUUUUUGAAGAAUUGUUUCUCUUGGGAGCUCAUGAUUGGGGCAUGAAUAUAACAUUGAUUUAAGCCUCCCCCAAGCUUGAGCGAUGCUUUCUCCUUCGCAAGGCCAAAAAUUAUAUAUAUAAUUGCGGUCACGAUAAACAAGAUGCAUAGGGUAAUAAUUUUGAUGAAAUUCCAAUUUCAAUCUUCUAUAGUUCCAUGAUCUCGUAUCAUCACAUAGCCUAUACCAUGUCAAUGCGUCUCCCUUCAAAGAUAAGGGGAAGACCUUCUUCUUAGCAACAUCAUCGGGUAUACCUGCAAGCUUAAAUAAUCCACAAACUUCAUCCACAUAUAUUAGGUGUUCAUCAGGAUGCUUUGUUCCAUCUCCUGUAAAAGGAUUAGCUAGCAGUUUUUCUAUCAUACCCGAAGGAUACUCAUAAGGAAUUUCAUUUUCAAUAGGUUCAGUAGGUUGAGGAGCAACUCUUUGCUCUACUGGUCGUGGUGAAGAUACCCCGAACAAGCCCCUCAGAGGAUUACUUUCCAUAGUAACAAGUGACAGUAAAUUUCAGCACACUAUAUAAAUUUUUCCUUACCAAAUUCCACCUACCAAAGGCGCUUCACUCCCCGGCAACGGUGCCAGAAAAGAGUCUUGAUGACCCACAAGUAUAGGGGAUCUAUCGUAGUCCUUUCGAUAAGUAAGAGUGUUGAGCCCAACGAGGAGCAGAAGGAAAUGAUAAGCGGUUUUCAGCAAGGUAUUCUCUGCAAGUACUGAAAUAAGUGGUAACAGAUAGUUUUGUGAUAAGAUAAUUUGUGAUGAGCAACAAGUAACAAAAGUAAAUAAAGUGCAGCAAGGUGGCCCAAUCCUUUUUGUAGCAAAGGAAAAGCCUGGACAAACUCUUAUAUAAGGAAAAGCGCUCCUGAGGACACAUGGGAAUAUCAUCAAGCUAGUUUUCAUCACGUUCAUAUGAUUCGUGUUUGGUACUUUGAUAAUUUGACAUGUGGGUGGACCGGUGCUUGGGUGCUGUUCUGACUUGAACAAGCAUCCCACUUAUGAUUAACCUCUAUUGCAAGUAUCCGCAACUACAACAAAAGUAUUAAGGUAAACCUAACCAUAGCAUAAAACAUAUGGAUCCAAAUCAGCCCCUUACGAAGCAACGCAUAAAUUAGGGUUUAAGCGUCUGUCACUCUAGCAACCCAUCAUCUACUUAUUACUUCCCAAUGCCUUCCUCUAGGCCCAAAUAAUGGUGAAGUGUUAUGUAGUCGACGUUCACAUAACACCACUAGAGGCUAGACAACAUACAUCUCAUCAAAAUAUCGAACGAAUACCAAAUUCACAUGACUACUAAUAGCAAGACUUCUCCCUUGUCCUUAGGAACAAACGUAACUACUCACAAAGCAUAUUCAUGUUCAUAAUCAGAGGGGUAAUAAUAUGCAUAAAGGAUCUGAACAUAUGAUCUUCCACCAAUUAAACCAACUAGCAUCUACUACAAGGAGUAAUUAACACUACUAGCAACCUACUAGCACCAAUCCCGGACUUGGAGACAAGAAUUGGAUACAAGAGAUGAACUAGGGUUUUGAGAUGAGAUGGUGCUGAUGAAGAUGUUGAUGGGGAUUGCCCUCUCCCGAUGAGAGGAGCGUUGGUGAUGACGAUGGCGAUGAUUUCCCCCUCCGUGAGGGAAGUUUCCCUGGCAGAACAGCUCUGUCGGAGCUCUAGAUUGGAUCCGCCAAGGUUCCGCCUCGUGGCAGCGGAGUUUCGUCCCGAAAGGUUGCUUCUGAUUUUUUUCUCGAUGAAAGACUUCAUAUAGCAGAAGAUGGUCAUCAGAGAUCCACCAGGGGGCCCACGAGGUAGGGGGCGCGCCCUAGGGGGGGGGGCGCCCCACCCUCGUGGACAAGGUGUGCGCCCCCUGGUCUUCAUCUUUGGCGAGGAUUUUUCAUUAUUUAUUAUAAGGUAUUCCGUAGAGUUUUAGGACUUUUGGAGUUGUGCAGAAUAGGUCUCUAAUAUUUGCUCCUUUUCCAGCCCAGAAUUCCAGCUGCCGGCAUUCUCCCUCCUUAUGUAAACCUUGUAAAAUAAGAGAGAAUAGCCAUAAGUAUUGUGACAUAAUGUGAAAUAACAGCCCAUAAUGCAAUAAAUAUCGAUAUAAAAGCAUGAUGCAAAAUGGACGUAUCACUGCUCAAGUGAAGAAGCCCAAGUCUGGACCUAAGCCUGAGACUGAGUGCUUCUACUGCAAAGGGACUGGUCACUGGAAGCGGAACUGCCCCAAGUAUUUGGUGGAGAAGAAGGAUGGCAAAGUAAAAGUAUAUUUGAUAUACAUGUUAUUGAUGUGUACCUUGCUAAUGCUCACAGUAGAGCCUGUGUAUUUGAUACUGGUUCUGUUGCUAAUAUUUGCAACUCGAAACAGGGGCUACAGAUUAAGCGAAGAUUAGCUAAGGACGAGGUGACGAUGUGCGUGGGAAAUGGUUCCAAAGUCGAUGUGAUCGCCGUCGGCACGCUACCUCUACAUCUACCUUCGGGAUUAGUUUUAGACCUAAAUAAUUUUUAUUUGGUGCCAGCGUUGAGCAUGAACAUUAUAUCUGGAUCUUGUUUGAUGCGAGACGGUUAUUCAUUUAAAUCAGAGAAUAAUGGUUGUUCUAUUUAUACGAGUAAUACCUUUUAUGGUCAUGCACCCUUGAUGAGUGGUCUAUUUUUACUAAAUCUUGAUAGUAGUGAUAGAGAUGUUCAUAGUAUUGAAGCCAAAAGAUAUAAGUUUAAUAAUGAUAGUGCAACUUAUUUGUGGCACUGCCGUUUAGGUCAUAUUGGUGUAAAGCGCAUGAAGAAACUCCAUGCUGAUGGGCUUUUGGAAUCACUUGAUUAUGAAUCACUUGAUGCUUGCGAACCAUGCCUCAUGGGCAAGAUGACUAAGACUCUGUUCUCCGGAACAAUGGAGCGAGCAAUAGAAUUGCUGGAAAUAAUACAUACUGAUGUAUGCGGUCCGAUGAGUGUUGAUGCUCGUGGUGGCUAUCGUUAUUUUCUUACCUUCACACAUGAUUUGAGCAGAUAUGGGUAUAUCUACUUGAUGAAACAUAAGUCUGAAACAUUUGAAAAGUUCAAAGAAUUUCGGAGUGAAGUGGAAAAUCAUUGUAACAAGAAAAUUAAGUUUCUACGAUCUGACCGUGUAGGUGAUUAUUUGAGUUCUGAGUUUGGUCUUCACUUGAAACAAUGUGGAAUAGUUUCGCAACUCACGCCACCUGGAACACCAUAGCAUAAUGGUGUGUACGAAUGUCGUAACCACACUUUAUUGGAUAUGGUGCGAUCUAUGAUGUCUCUUACUGAUUUACCGCUAUCAUUUUGAUUUAGAGAUGACUGCAUGCACGUUAAAUAGGGCACCGUCGAAAUCCAUUGAGAUGACACCUUAUGAACUGUGGUUUGCCAAGAAACCCAAGUUGUCGUUUCUUAAAGUUUGGGGCUGCGAUGCUUAUGUGAAAAAGCUUCAACCUGAUAAGCUCGAACCCAAAUCAGAGAAAUGUGUCUUCAUAGGAUACCCAAAGGAGACUGUUGGGUACACCUUCUAUCACAGAUCCGAAGGCAAGAUAUUCGUUGCUAAGAAUGGAUCCUUUCUAGAGAAGGAGUUUCUCUCGAAAGAAGUGAGUGGGAGGAAAGUAGAACUUGAUGAGGUAACUAUACCUGCUCCCUUAUUGGAAAGUAGUUCAUCAUAGAAAUUAGUUCCAGCGAUUCCUACACCAGUAAGUGAGGAAGCUAAUGAUGAUGAUCAUAAAACUUCUGAUCAAUUUACUACCGGACCUCGUAGGUCAACCAGAGUAAGAUCCGCACUAGAGUGGUACGGUAAUCCUGUUCUGGAGGUCAUGUUACUUGACCAUGAAGAGCCUACGAACUAUGAGGAAGCGAUGAUGAGCCCAGAUUCCGCAAAAUGGCUUGAUGCCAUGAAAUCUGAGAUGGGAUCCAUGUAUGAGAAGAAAGUGUGGACUUUGGUUGACUUGCCCAAUGAUCGGCAAGCCAUAGAGAAUAAAUGGAUCUUCGAGAAGAAGACUGACGCUGACGGUAAUGUUACUGUCUACAAAGCUCGACUUGUUGCAAAAGGUUUUCGACAAGUUCAAGGAGUUGACUACGAUGAGACCUUCUCACCCGUAGUGAUGCUUAAGUCUGUCUGAAUCAUGUUAGCAAUUGCCGCAUUUUAUGAUUAUGAAAUUUGGCAAAUGGAUGUCAAAACUGCAUUCCUUAAUGGAUAUCUUAAAGAAGAGUUGUAUAUGAUGCAACCAGAAGGUUUUGUCGAUCCAAAAGUUGCUAACAAAGUGUGCAAGCUCUAGCGAUCCAUUUAUGGACUAGUGCAAGCCUCUCGGAGUUGGAAUAUACGCUUUGAUAGUGUGAUCAAAGCAUAUGGUUUUAUAAAGACUUUUGGAGAAGCCUGUAUUUACAAGAAAGUGAGUGGGAGCUCUGUAGCAUUUUUGAUAUUAUAUGUGGAUGACAUAUUGCUGAUCAGAAAUGAUACUGAAUUUCUGAAUAGCAUAAAAUGAUACUUGAAUAAGAAUUUUUCAAUGAAAGAUCUCGGUGAAGCUACUUAUAUAUUGGGCAUCAAGAUCUGUAGAGAUAGAUCAAGACGCUUAAUUGGACUUUCACAAAGCACAUACCUUGAUAAAGUUCUGAAGAAGUUCAAAAUGGAUCAAGCAAAGAAAGGGUUCUUGCCUAUGUUACAAGGUGUGAAGUUGAGUUAGACUCAAUGCCCAACCACUGCAGAAGAUAGAGAGAAAAUGAAAGUCAUUCCCUAUGCUUCAGCCAUAGGUUCUAUCAUGUAUGCAAUGCUGUGUACCAGACCUGAGGUUUGCCUUGCUAUUAGUUUAGUAGGGAGGUACCAAAGUAAUCCAGGAGUGGAUCACUGGACAGCAGUCAAGAACAUCCUAAAAUACCUGAAAAGGACUAAGGAUAUGUUUCUCGUUUAUGGAGGUGACAAAGAGCUCGUCGUAAACGGUUACGUCAAUCCAAGCUUUGACACUGAUCCGGAUGACUCUAAGUCACAAAUCGGAUACGUAUUUUUAUUAAAUGGUGGAGCUUCAGUUGGUGCAGUUCCAAGCAGAGCGUCGUGGCGGGAUCUACGUGUGAAGCGGAGUACAUAGCUGCUUCGGAAGCAGCAAAUGAGGGAGUCUGGAUGAAGGAGUUCAUAUCCGAUCUAGGUGUCAUACCUAGUGCAUCAGGUCCAAUGAAAAUCUUUUGUGACAAUACCGGUGCAAUUGCCUUGGCAAAGGAAUCCAGAUUUCACAAGAGAACCAAGCACAUCAAAAGACGCUUCAAUUCCAUCCGCGAUCAAGUCAAGGAGGGAGACAUAGAUGUUUGCAAGAUACCUACGGAUCUGAAUGUUGUAGACCAGUUGAAUAAGCCUCUCUCACGAGCAAAACAUGAUCAUCACCAAGACUCCAUGGAUGUUAAAAUCAUUACAAUGUAAUCUAGAUUAUUGACUCUAGUGCAAGUGGGAGACUGAAGGAAAUAUGCCCUAGAGGCAAUAAUAAAGCCUUGCAAGCAAUGUGACUAAUGAGUUAGUUACGGGAUGUUACAUUACAGAAUGAGUAAAGAGACUUGACGGUAACUUGAUUGAACUAGGUAUUGAGAUACCGACGAUUGAAUCUCGGGAAAGUAACAUACCGAUGACAAAGGGAACAACGUAUGUUGUUAUGCGGUUUGACCGAUAACACGGUUUCGAGGGGGGGGGGGGAGCUGGAACCGGCACGAGCACCGGUCGUGGCCACGGGACACUUCUCCGCCUUCCCUUUCCCCUGGUCGAUUUAUAGCCGCGGGUGCCUUGUUUGCCCCUGUUGCUACAUCCGGCCGGUUCCUGCCAUGAGCGGUGGAGGUUUUCCCCUCCCGCGUGGCUGCUGUUGCCGCCGCUCCUCGUUCCUGGUUGCCUCCUCUGUUCCUCCCGGUUUCGCUUCAUUUUCCAUGGUGAGACGGCGAUGGGGACUGCACGGCCGGGUGGCUGCUACCUCUUGAGCACUGCGGUUGGUUUUCCCUUGAAGAGGAAAGGGUGAUGCAGCAAAGCAGUGCAAGUAUUUCCCUCAGUUUUUGAGAACCAAGGUAUCAAUCCAGUAGGAGACUACAUGCAAGUCCCUCGUAGUUACACAAACAAAUAAGAACCUCACAACCAACGUGAUAAAGGGGUUGUCAAUCCCUUCACGGUCACUUACGAGAGUGAGAUCUGAUAGAGAUAAUAAUGAUAAGAUAAAUAUUUUUGGUAUUUUUAUGAUAUAGAUUGAAAGUAAAGAUUGCAAAGUAAACGGUGCCAGAAAAUAACUUGUUUACGGGAUAUUGAUAUAAUGGAGAAUAGACCCCGGGGCCAUAGGUUUCACUAGUGGCUUCUCUCAAGAUAGCAUAAGUAUUACGGUGGGUGAACAAAUUACUGUCGAGCAAUUGAUAGAAACACGAAUAAUUAUGAAAAUAUCUAGGCAUGAUCAUGUAUAUAGGCAUCACGUCCGUGACAAGUAGACUGACUCCUGCCUGCAUCUACUACUAUUACUCCACACAUCGACCGCUAUCCAACAUGAAUCUAGAGUAUAAAGUUCAUAAGAACAGAGUAACGCAUUAGGUAAGAUGACAUGAUGUAGAGGGAUAAACUCAAGCAAUAUGAUAUAAACCCCAUCUUUUUAUCCUUGGUGGCAACAAUACAAUACGUGUCGUUUCCCUUUCUGUCACUGGGAUCGAGCACCGCAAGAUUGAACCCAAAGCUAAGCACUUCUCCCAUUGCAAGAAAGAUCAAUCUAGUAGGCCAAACCAAACUGAUAAUUCGAAGAGACUUGCAAAGAUAACCAAUCAUACAUAAAAUAUUUCGGAGAAGAAUCAAAUAUUGUUCAUAGAUAGACUUGAUCAUAAACCCACAAUUCAUUGGACCUCGACAAACACACUGCAAAAAGAGUUAAAUCGAAUAGAUCUCCAAGAAGAUUGAGGAGAACUUUGUAUUGAGAUUCAAAGAGAGAGAAGAAGCCAUCUAGCUAAUAGCUAUGGACCUGAAGGUCUAAAGUGAACUACUCACACAUCAUCGGAGGGGCCAUGGAGUUGAUGUAGAGGCCCUCCGUGAUUGAUGCCCCCUCCGGCGGAGCUCCGAAAAAGGCCCCAAGAUGGGAUCUCUUGGGUACAGAAGGUUGUGGCGGUGGAAAUAGGGUUUCAUGGUUCUCCUGGAUGUUUUCGGGGUAUAUGAAUAUAUAUAUAUAUAUAUAUAUAUAUAUAUAUAUAUAGGAGGAAGAAGUAGGUUGGUGGAGCCACGAGGGGCCUAUGAGGGAGAGGGCUCGCCCAGGGGGGUAGGCGCACUCCCUGCCUCGUGGCCUCCUCGUUGGUUGCUUGACGUCCACUUCAAGUCCUCUGGAUCACGUUUGUUCCAAAAAUAACUCUCCCGAAGGUUUUAUUCCGUUUGGAUUCUAUUUGAUAUUCCUUUUCUGCGAAACACUAAAAUAGGCAAAAAAACAGCAAUUUGCACUGGGCCUUGGGUUAGUAGGUUAGUCCCAAAAAUAAUAUAAAAGUGUAAAAUAAAGCCCAUUAACAUCCAAAACAGAUAAUAUAAUAGCAUGGAACAAUCAAAAAUUAUAGAUACGUUGGAGACGUAUCAAGCAUCACCAAGCUUAAUUCCUACUCGUCCUCGAGUAGGUAAAUGAUAAAAACAGAAUUUUUGAUGUGGAAUGCUACCUAGCAUAAUUCUCAAUGUAAUUCUCUUUAUUGUGGCAUGAAUAUUCAGAUCCGAAAGAUUCAAGACAAAAGUCUAAUAUUGACACAAAAAAUAAUAAUACUUCAAGCAUACUAACUAAGCAAUUAUGUCUUCUCAAAAUAACAUGGCAAAAGAAUGUUCAUCCCUACAAAAUCAUAUAGUUUGGUCAUGCUCCAUUUUCGUCACACAAGAAUGCUCUCAUCAUGCACAACCCCGACGACAAGCCAAGCAAUUGUUUCACACUUCAGUAAUCUCAAACUUUUUUGAACUUUCACGCAAUACAUGAGCGUGAGCCAUGGAUAUAGCACUAUGGGUGGAAUAGAAUAUGAUGAUGGGGUUUAUGUGGAGAAGACAAAAAUGGAGAAAGUCUCACAUCGACGCAGCUAAUCAAUGGGCUAGGGAUAUGCCCAUCAAUUGAUGUCAAUGCAAGGAGUAGGGAAUGCCAUGCAACGGAUGCACUAGAGCUAUAAAUGUAUGAAAGCUCAACAAAAGAAACUAAGUGGGUGUGCAUCCAACUUGCUUGCUCACGAAGACCUAGGGCAUUUGAGGAAGCCCAUUGUUGGAAUAUACAAGCCAAGUUCUAUAAUGAAAAAUUCCCACUAGUAUAUGAAAGUGAUAAAACAAGAGACUCUCUAUCAUAAAGAUCAUGGUGCUACUUUGAAGCACAAGUGUGGAAAAAAGGAUAGUAGCAUUGCUCCUUUUUAUUUCUUUUUUUCCUUUUUUGGCCUUUCUUUCUUUUUAUUUGGGACAAUGCUCUAUUAAUGAUGAUCAUCACACUUCUAUUUAUUUACAACUCAAUGAUUACAACUCGAUACUAGAACAAAGUAUGACUGUAUAUGAAUGCCUCCGGCGGUGUACCGGGAAGGGCAAUGAAUCAAGAAUGACAUGUAUGAAAAAUUAUGAACGGUGGCUUUGCCACAAGUACGAUGUCAACUACAUGAUCAUGCAAGGCAAUAUGACAAUGAUGAUGUGUGUCAUGAUAAAUGGAACGGUGGAAAGUUGCAUGGAAAUAUAUCUUGGAAUGGCUAUGGAAAUGCCAUAAUAGGUAGGUAUGGUGGCUGUUUGAGGAAGAUAUAAGGAGGUUUAUGUGUGACAGAGCGUAUCAUAUCACGGGGUUUGGAUGCACCGGCAAAGUUUGCACCAACUCUCAUGGUGAUAAAGAGCAAUGCACGGUACCGAAGAGGCUAGCAAUGAUGGAAGGGUGAGAGUGCGUAUAAUCCAUGGACUCAACAUUAGUCAUAAAGAACUCACAUACUUUUUGCAAAAAUCUACAAGUCAUCAAAAAUCAAGCACUAUGCGCAUGCUCCUAGGGGGAUAGAUUGGUAGGAAAAUACCAUCGCUCGUCCCCGACCGCCACUCAUAAGGAAGACAAUCAAAUAACAUCUCAUGUUUCAAAUUUGUUACACAACGGUCACCAUACGUGCAUGCUACGGGACUUGCAAACUUCAACACAAGUAUUUCUCAAAUUCACAACUACUCAACUAGCACACUCUAAUAUUACCACCUUUAUAUCUCAAAACAAUUAUCAAGUAUCAAACUUCUCCUAGUACUCAAUGCACUUUUUAUGAAAGUUUUUAUUAUACCGAUCUUGGAUGCCUAUCAUAUUAGGACUAAAUUCAUAACCAAAGAAAAUUACCAUCCUGUUCUAAAGGACUCUCAAAAUAAUAUAAUUGAAGCAUGACAGUUCAAUAAUUUCUAUAAAAUAGAACCACCGCCAUGCUCUAAAGGAUAUAAGUGAAGCACUAGAGCAAAUUAUCUAGCUCAAAAGAUAUAAGUGAAGCACAUAGAGUAUUCUAACAAAUUUCGAUUCAUGUGUGUCUCUCCCAAAGUGUGUGUACAUCAAGGAUGAUUGUGGUAAACUAAAAAGAAAAGACUCAAAUCAUACAAGACGCUCCAAGCAAAACACAAUUCAUGUGGUGAAUAAAAAUAUAGCCUCAAGUAAAGUUACCGAUAGAAGAAGACGAAAGAGGGGAUGCCUUCCGGGGCAUCCCCAAGCUUAGGCUUUUGGUUGUCCUUGAAUUUUACCUCGAGGUGCCUUGGGCAUCCCCAAGAUUAGGCUCUUGCCACUCCUUGUUCCAUAAUCCAUCAAAUAUUUACCCAAAACUUGAAAACUUCACAACACAAAACUUAAACAGAAAAUAUCAUAAGCUCCGUUAGUAAAAGAAAACAAACCACCACUUAAGGUACUGUAAUGAACUCAUUCUUAUUUGUAUUGGUGUUAAACCUACUGUAUUCCAACUUCUCUAUGGUUCAUACACUCAAAUACUAGCCAUAGAUUCAUCAAAAUAAGCAAAUAACACACAAAAACAGAAUCUGUAAAAAACAGAACAAUUUGUAGUAAUCUGUAGGUUUGGAAUACUUCUGGAACCCCAAAAAUUCUAAAAUAAAUUUCUGUACGUGAGGAAUUUAUCUGUUAAUCAUAUGCAAAAUAAUUAACUAAAUAGCACUCUCCAGUAAAAAAUGGCAUCUAAUCUCAUGAGCGCUAAAGUUUCUAUUUUUUUACAGCAAGAUCGCAAAGACCUUCCCCAAGUCUUAAAGGUUCUACUUGGCAUAAACACUAAUUAAAAGCAUAAAACCACAUCUAAAAAGAGGCUAGAUGAAUUAUUUAUUAAUAAACAUAAUGAAAAAGCAAGGAACAAAAAUAAAAUUGGGCUGCCUCCCAACAAGCGCUAUCGUUUAACGCCCCUAGCUAGGCAUAAAAGCAAGGAUAGAUCUAGGUAUUGCCAUCUUUGGUAUGCAAUCCAUAAGUGGCUCUCAUAAUAGAUUAAUAAGGUAAUUUAAUUUUCUUUCUAGGAAAGUGUUCCAUGCCCUUCCUUAAUGGAAAUUGGAAUCUAAUAUUCCCUACCUUCAUAUCAAUAAUUGCACCAAUCGUUCUAAGGAAAGGUCUACCAAGAAUAAUAGGACAUGUAGGAUUGCAAUCAAUAUCAAGAACAAUGAAAUCCAUGGGCACAUAAUUCCUAUUUUCAACAAUAAUAACAUCAUUAAUUCUUCCCAUAGGUUUCUUAAUAGUGUAAUCCGCAAGAUGCAAGUUUAAAGAACAAUCAUCAAAUUCACGGAAACCUAGCAAAUCACACAAGGUUUUUGGAAUCGUGGAAACACUAGCACCCAAAUCACACAACACAUAGCAUUCAUGAUAUUUAAUUUUAAUUUUAAUAGUAGGUUCCCACUCAUCAUAAAGUUUUCUAGGGAUAGAAACUUCCAAUUCAAGCUUUUCUUCAUAAGAUUGCAUUAAAGCAUCAACAAUAUGUUUAGUAAAAGCUUUAUUUUGACUAUAAGCAUGCGGAGAAUUUAACAUGGAUUGCAACAAGGAAAUACAAUCUAUUAAAGAACAAUUAUCAUAAUUAAAUUCCUUGAAAUCCAAGAUAGUGGGUUCAUUGCUAUGUAAAGUUUUGACCUCUCCCUUCCCACUUUUAUCAAUUUUUGCAUCAAUAUCUAAAAACUCCGAAUCAUUGGGACGCCUUCUAACUAAGUUGACUCAUCUCCAGUCCCAUGAUUAUCAAGAUUCAUAUUGCAAAACAAAGAUUUAAUAGGAGACACAUCAACAACUUUUAGAUCUUCAUCAUUAUUAUCAUGGAAACUAGAAGAACACGCUUUCACAAAGCAAUCUUUUUAGCACGCAUCCUAGCGGUUCUUUCUUUGCACGCAUCAAUGGAAAUUCUCGUAGCUUUGAGAGACUCAUUGAUAUCAUGCUUAGGUGGAAUAGAUCUAAGUUUCAAAGAAUCAACAUCAAGAGAAAUUCUAUCCAUGUUCCUAGCCAACUCAUCAAUCUUAGACAAUUUUUCUACAAUCAAAGCAUUGAAACUCUUUUGCAAAAUAAUAAAUUCUUUAAUAUUAGAUUCAAAAUCAGAGGGAAUCUUAUUAUAAUUUCCAUAAGAAUUGUUGUAGGAAUUACCAUAAUUAUUAGAGGAAUUACUAGGAAACGGCCUAGGAUUAAAAUUACCUCUAUAUGCGUUAUUACCAAAGUUGUUCCUACCAACAAAAUUCACCAUAGAUUCAUUAUCAUUCUCAAUCAAAGUAGACGAAGGCAUAUCAUUAGGAUCAGAAGAAACACUCUUAUUAGCAAACAAUUUCAUAAGUUCGUCCAUCUUUCCUCUCAAAACAUUAAUUUCUUCUAUUGCAUGAACCUUUUUACUAGUAGAUCUUUUAGUGUGCCAUUGAGAAUAAUUAACCAUAAUAUUAUCUAGGAGUUUAGUAGCUUCUCCUAAAGUGAUUUCCAUAAAAGUGCCUCAUGCGGCCGAAUCUAAAAGAUUUCUAGAAGCAAAAUUCAAUCCAGCAUAAUUUUUUUGUAUAAUUAUCCAAAGAUUCAAACCGUGUGUAGGGUAAUUACGUAUCAUUAAUUUCAUCCUCUCCCAAGCUUGUGCAACAUGUUCAUCAUCAAGUUGCUUAAAAUUCAUAAUAUCGUUUCGAAGGGUUAUGAUCUUAGCGGGAGGAAAAUACUUAGAGAAAAAAAGCAUCUUUGCACUUAUUCCAUGAAUCAAAACUAUUUUUAGGCAAAGACGAAAACCAAGUUUUAGCACGAUCUCUAAGCAAAAACGAGAAUAUCUUCAAUUUAACAGUACCUUUAUCUACAUCUUUCUUCUUUUGCAUAUCACACAUAUCAACAAAGUUGUUUAGAUGGGUAGCGGCAUCUUCACUAGGAAGGCUGGAAAAUGGGUCUUUCAUGACAAGAUUCAGCAAAGCAGUAUGAAUUUCACAAGAUUCAGCAUCAGUAAGAGGAGCAAUCGGAGUGCUAAUAAAAUCAUUAUUGUUGUUAUUAGAAAAUUCACACAAUUUAGUAUUAUCUUGAGCCAUCGUGACAAACAAUCCAACAGACAAGCACACAAGAGGCAAGAGAAAAGAGACGAACUGGAAAAGAGAAGGGGAACAGAAAAAGAGGGCGAAUAAAACAACAAGGGUGAAGUAGGGGAGAGGAAAACGAGAGGCAAAUGGCAAAUAAUGUAAUGCAAGGGAUAAGACUUUGUGAUGGGUACUUGUUAUGUCUUGACUUGUGUGUAGAUCUCCCCGGCAAUGGCGCCAGAAAUCCUUCUUGCUAUCUCUUGAGCACUGCGUUGGUUUUCCCUUGAAGAGGAAAGGGUGAUGCAGCAAAGUAGCAUAAGUAUUUCCCUCAGUUUUUGAGAACCAAGGUAUGAAUCAAGUAGGAGACUACACGCAAGUCCCUCGUACCUACACAAACAAAUAAGAACCUCGCAACUAACGCGAUAAAGGGGUUGUCAAUCCCUUCACAGUCACUUACGAGAGUGAGAUCUGAUAGAGAUAAUAAUGAUAAGAUAAAUAUUUUUGUUAUUUUUAUGAUAUAAUUGAAAGUAAGAUUGCAAAAUAAACGGUGCCAGAAAAUAACUUGUUUACGGGAGAUUAAUAUAAUGGAGAAUAGACCCGGGGGCCAUAGGUUUCACUAGUGGAUUCUCUCAAGAUAGCAUAAGUAUUAUGGUGGGUGAACAAAUUAAUGUCGAGUAAUUGAUAGAAAAGAGAAUAAUUAUGAGAAUAUCUUGGCAUGAUCAUGUAUAUAGGCAUCACGUCCAUGACAAGUAGACCGACUCCUGCCUGCACCUACUACUAUUACUCCACACAUCGACCGCUAUCCAGCAUGCAUCUAGAGUAUUAAGUUCAUAAGAACAGAGUAACGCAUUAGGUAAGAUGACAUGAUGUAGAGGGAUAAACUCAAGCAAUAUGAUAUAAACCCCAUAUUUUUAUCCUUGAUGGCAACAAUACAAUACGUGUCAUUUCCCUUUUUGUCACUAGGAUCGAGCACCGCAAGAUUGAACCCAAAGCUAAGCACUUCUCCCAUUGCAAGAAAGAUCAAUCUAGUAGGCCAAACCAAACUGAUAAUUCAAAGAGACUUGCAAAGAUAACCAAUCAUACAUAAAAUAUUUCAUAGAAGAAUCAAAUAUUGUUCACAAAUAGUCUUGAUUAUAAACCCACAAUUCAUCGGAGCUCGACAAACACACCACAAAAAGAGUUACAUCGAAUAGAUCUCCAAGAAGACCGAGGAGAACUUUGUAUUGUGAUUUAAAGAGAGAGAAGAAGCCAUCUAGCUAAUAGCUAUGGACCCGAAGGUCUGAAGUAAACUACUCACACAUCAUCCGAGGGGCCAUGGAGUUGAUGUAGAGGCCCUCCGUGAUCGAUGCCCUCUUCGAUGGAGCUCCGGAAAAGGCCCCAAGAUGGGAUCUCUUGGGUACAGAAGUUUGCGGCGGUGGAAAUAGGGUUUCGUGGUGCUCCUAGAUGUUUUCGGGGUAUAUGAAUGUAUAUAUAGGAGGAAGAAGUAGGUCGGUGGAGCCACGAGGGGCCCACGAGGGGGAGGGCGCGCCCCCUGCCUCGUGGCCUCCUUGUUGGUUUCUUGACGUCCACUCCAAGUCCUCUGGAUCAUGUUUGUUCCAAAAUUAACUCUCCCGAAGGUUUUAUUCCGUUUGGAUUUCGUUUGAUAUUGCUUUUCUGCGAAACACUAAAAUAGGCAAAAAAAACAACAAUUUGCACUGGGCCUUGGGUUAGUAGGUUAGUCCCAAAAACAAUAUAAAAGUGUAGAAUAAAGCCCAUUAACAUCCAAAACAGAUACUAUAAUAGCAUGGAACAAUCAAAAAUUAUAGAUACGUUAGAGACGUAUCAGGGGUGCAUGUUGGUGGGCGGCGUCUUUGGUGGCGCGCGAUGGAUAAUCUGGGGUCGUGUGUCACAUCCCUAGUUCUGGUUUGCUCUGGGCUAGCUAGUCCUGUGUGCAUCAUGUUUAAAAUUCAAUGAAUUUGAAAUGGGGACUUGUGAAAGCCUCAGAAAUCAUUUUGAAAAUGAUCAAGAUAAAAAUUUCUUCAAUUUGUACCAAGAAAAUGUUCCUGUUUUUCCCUAAUAAUAUUGGCCAGAGUUAAAAUUCCAACCAAUAUUUUUGGGAGCUCAGAAGUAUUUAUUUUUGGCCAUUUGAGUUAAUCCAGUAAAUAUUUGCAUUGGAUAUAUAUAUAUGUUAUAUAUAUAUAUUAUAUAUGUCCAAUAAUUCCGAUUUUUACUGUGGGGAUCUGGAAUAAUCCAAUUAGUUCCUACAUUAAUUUUCAGAAGAAAAUAAAUUGGUUUAGUAUUUUACUAAAUCAGAAACAAAAUUACAGAAAUAGAAAAGAAAACAAAAUAGAAAAAAAGGGGAGAAAGGUUUUACCUGGCCUUACCUGAAGCUGGCCUAGCUGACAGCCCAGCUCGCUGGCCCAGCCCACCUAGCGUCUCCUGUCGUCUUCCUGUUGCCAGUAGGAGCAGCUGCGUGCUUGCACGUGCGCGGCUGAGGAGGCCAGCUCCUCCCUGCCUGCCUGCCCGUCCCCGACACGUCUGGACGAGGCCACGCAACCCCUCUGGCCCUCUCUCACUCUCCCCGUGUCCAUCCCUCUCCUCCGCUCUCUCCGCACAGCACCACCGAACGCCACCAUCGUCGCCGCUCGCCGCUGCCGCGGCUACAACCAUCCCCUCACCCCUCUGUCGUGUCCACUAGCACCGCCGUUGAGCUCCGCCUCCCCAAGCCGAAGGAACCGAGCCCGGACACCCUGCAUCGCCUCCACGCCAUCGUCUUCAACCUCGGGUUGACCGAGAUCGCCGUCGCCCGUACGCCGCUGUCAGGUCGCCCCCGAGCUCACUGUCUCCUUCAUCCAAACCACCGUAAGCCCCUGCCUCUUUCCCCUCUCUCCCGUGCUCUUUUCCUCGACAUAGCCGCCGCUUCACCGACGACCGAAUCGCGCUGCCGCCUGAGCCCCUCGCCGCCGUUGCCACAGUCACCGUAGCCCCUAACCGAGCACACCCACGUGCUCACCGCACCUCAUAGAGGCCGUAGGUGCUACGCCCGCAUCUCCACGCCCGCUGCAGCUUCGAACCCGAGCUCGCCCGAGCUCCGGCCUCCGCUAAAGCUCGUCGCCGGCCACUUUUCGGCCACCCCAGCACCACCCACCACCACCACUAGAAGCACGGCAAUGCCAGGAACCCAUAGAGCCCUUCCGCGCGUUGUGUGGCCUCCCGUAGCUCAAACCCAAGCCGCGCCUCCGUUGUUUUUGUCGCCGCCGGCAAGGCUCCGGCGACUGCUGACAUGGCUAAGUCAUUAGCAGCUAACCGUCCCACUAAUUAAACCUAGAGGCAGUGACAGCUGGGCCCCACCGACUAACUAAACUUGGUUUAGUGUUUGUUUAGAUUAAACUAACCCCGCUGGGCCCACAGGUCAGUUUGACCUGGCCACGUCACCUGUUGACUGACCCCACCCGUCAACGUUGACUUGCUGAUGUGGCUGUUAACCCGACCCCACCUAUCGGUGACCCAGACAGCACUAUGUGACUGACCAGUGGACCCCACUGGUUAGGUUUGACCCGGUCAACCGCAGUUGACUUGCUAACAUCACAUCGACGUCAUGCUGAUGCAGUAAAUCAUUUUCUGGAUUUAAAAUAAUUAGGAAAUUCUAGAAAAUGUCUAAAACUUCUAAAAAUCAUAGAAAUUAAUCUAUAACUCAGAAUGAAAUAAAUUAUAUAUGAAAAAUUAUCAGAAAAAUUCAAGGAAUCCAUUUGUAUCAUUUCCAUGCAUGUUUUAACAAUGUAUGUCCUCUGUUUUGGACAAAACAAAUAAAGGGCAUUUAGAUAAUCAUAUAUGGAGUUGGAAUUUGAAUCAUGUAUCCAAACCAACUUCAUUUCAAUCAUAUCUAGAUGCAUUAGCUCAAAUCACAGCAUAUUGCCAUGUCAUCAUCAUGCAUCAUAUUGUGGCAUUGCAUUGAUUGUGUUCUUUCUCAGUUGCUGUUGUUUGUCCCCUCUCGAUAGACGUGUAUCGACGACGAGAACGAUGAUACCGAUGAAGUGUGUUCCUCUUCAGAAGUGUCAGGCAAGCAAAACCCCCUUGUUCAUUUUGAUACAAUCCCACUCUCUCACUCCUGCUCUCUUUUACUGCAUUAGGACAACAACGAUUCAACUGUUACAUGCUGCGGUAGUUGAACCACUUUCCUUUGCAUGACUUGUCAUUGCCACAGUAAAUAGAUGAAACCCACUAGCAUGAGUAAGAGUUGUUUGAGCCCUGGUGUGCAUACUCAUUCAUGCUUGUUUAUCAUGCCUGCCAUUGCUUAGAGUUGAGUCAGGUCUGAUUCAUCGGGGAUGAAUUAGAGGUGUGAGAACAUGUCCUACUGUUGUGAUCGAAGUGUGUGAACACGAUUUGGUAAAGGUAUCGGUGAGAGGCCAUGUAGGAGUACAUGGUGGGUUGUCUCAUUGAAGCCAUCCUCAGGAACUGAGUUCUGUUUGUGAUCCAUGAACAGCUACUACCACGCAUUGGAAUGCUUAAGUGCCCCUCUCGACUUAUUAAUGAACCUGGUCUCUGUCCAGGAGUUGCAACUAGUUUCUAGUGUUUGUAGGUUGUGUUAGUAGUCUACCAAGUGGUACCCGGUACAAGUGGGCUUGGGACAGACUAGGCACCAUGGCACGGUGUACCAAGUGUAGAUCCAUCCGUCGAGGUGGGCUUGGGAACCCUGCACUCAUCGUUUGGGGCCGUGAGCGACACCCCGGCCGGAUCUCCUUGCGGAUGGAACCCGAAUAGGCGAUAAACCUAGACUAGAGACUUGUUGGUUAGUCAGGUCGUGGACAACUCCCUCGCCAGGCUUCCGCUUGAAGGUUGCCAAGAUACAUGAUGUGUACAUGGUGGUAAGUGGCGAGAGCAUGUGUGAAGAAGUACACCCCUGCAGGGUUAACAUCAUCUAUUCGAAUAGUCGUGUCUGCGGUAAAGGACUUCUAGGUUGCCUGUACAGUUCAUAAACAAGUGAAGUGGAUACUCUAAAAUGCGCAAGAUAAGCGUGAGUGCUAUGGAUGGCGUUCUCGUAGGGAGACAGGAGUGGAUCCAUAGUGGUGUAUUGAUAUGGUGAAUAUGUGAACUCAUGUGCUCCACCUCAAAAGAGUUACUUGCAGUCAUAGUCCAGGAUAGCCACCGAGUCAAAGCUGGCUUGCUGCAGUUAAACUCCAACACCCCUUUAUUGAUACUGAUGCAUAUGUAGCUAGUUCUAAUGUAAGUCUUGCUGGGUACAUUUGUACUCAUGUUUGCUUAAUUUAUGUCUUUAUAGAGAGAUUUCAGUCUCACUAGUAGUUCCGCAUGGACCUCGACGUUUAGCUCGUUACCUCAGCUACGAUCUUAUACCCUUGGGAGGGUCUUGUAGAUAGUCAGGCUUCUCAGCCUUCUUCAUUUGUUGUUGCCUGUACUCAGACAAGUUAAGCUUCCGCAUGUGCUUGUUGCUUGUAUGCUCUAUAUGUUGGGUCAUGAGACCCAUGUUUGUAAUAUCUCGCUCCUCGGAGCCUAAUGAAUAAAUACUUUGAGUCGUAGAGUUUUGUUGUGAUGCCAUGUUGUAUUUACACAUAUCGAGCAUAUUGUGUGUAUGAUUGAAAUGCUUGGUAUGUGUGGUAUCCGACAACCUAGUUGUUUAUCCUUGGUAGGCUCUCUUAUGGGGAAAUGUAGUCUUGUGCUUCCAUGAGCCAUAGUAGUCCGCUACAGCCGGUUCACCAGAGUCCUGCUAGCCCAGCACUACUGCUCCGGAACACUUGACUGGCCGGCAUGUGAUCCACUUCGUUCCUGUGUCUGUCCCUUCGGGGAAAUGUCACGUGGUGACAUCCGGAGUCCUGCCUAGCCUGCUACAGCCCGGUUCACCAGAGUCCUAUUAGCCCAGUGCUACAGCCCGGAUUCGCACGCUGCUGAUCGACAUGCUCGAUGUUGAUUCAUGUAUGCCUGUCCCCGUAAGUUAGUGCCACUUUGGGUUCACGACUAGUCAUGUCGGCCCGGGUUCUCUAUCAUAUGGAUGCUAGCAACACUAUCAUAUACGUGAGCCGAAAGGCGCAAAUGGUCCCGGGCCAUGGUAAGGCGACACCCGUGGGAAUACCGUGCGUGACGCCGCAAAGCGAUAUGAGGUGUUACCGGCUAGAUCGAUGUGACUUGGAAUCGGGGUUCUGACAGCUUUGGUAUCAGAGCCUGACUGCCUGUAGGAUUACCAAGCCAAGAUGGUCAAAGUCGUGUCUAGAAAUGCUUUAGUUAUAUAAGGGAAUUGAUUGUGGAUGAGAACGUAAGGCUCUUUUUACUCCUUAUCCUCAUGACCUUCUGAUCUGAGUCAUCUUAUCUUUUCUACAGGGUUAAGAACUAGGCUUCUCUUCUAUCUCUCAGGAUGACGUGUUACUAAACCGUAGUUGCCUAGGAUUGUUGAGUUCAAGCCUCAAUUCAGUUCCUACUACUUCCAUAUGUUCAUAGCUGGCCUCAGAACCUUGAUAUUGUGAUGUUGAGUGGUUAUGCCACCAUUUUGCAGGAUGUCUCAAAUCAUUUUGAGCAUUUACAGCCAUUAUGCUGUCCGAGUCAUCCCAGGUUUCUAAACAGUCUGGUGCAUCUGCAAAUCCCUUCCUCCCAUUCCUGAUGUCCUUUUGGGCCAGAUUAAGCACACUAAUCGGUGAGUUGAGGUACUCUAUUGCCUCAACAUAUAUGUUGGAGUUGUUAUUAUGACACUAGGGUAUCUUAGAGUUAGUAAUCUAGCCAUGUUUGGUGUUCCCAGUGUGAUGAUUCUGGCCACCAUUCUCGAAAGCAUCUCGUGAUGUUAUUUAGUUAGUAGGUAUUCUACUCCUGGGUUUUGAUCCCGAGAUUCACCCUACUUCAUGUUGUUAGUAUUUGCUAGUUCCCUUAAGAUAUUAGUAACCUUGUGAUAGUCCUCGAGGUCUAUGGUAUAUCGUUCUUCCAAUACCAUGAGCCAAUAUGGCAGAAGUUAUUUGAACCAAAAGAUCACAAUCAGAGUACUCUUGAGGAGUUCCCCAUUCAUAAUUGUGACUCUGCCAGUCCUACCUCUCUGCAUGGGUUAUCCGGAAGAAAUGUUGAGCUUUGUACAACAUACUAAUCUAUGCAUCCAUAACUCAGAAAAUCAUAUGUUCUUUGAGUUGUCCCUCAUUAGUUGUUUUCUGACCCCCGACUAUCAAUUUGUAGUCAGGAGUAAUCGUGCAUUCGUGUUAUCGAUGCCUAUUAUUCUCGUGUUCCGACAAACCAUUCUAUUCUAGAAUGACUAGGAGAAACAAACUCCAGCACCUCAUCCAUUUCUUGGACUGGUCAAAGUAGUUGUAUUUCACAGAUCAAAAUGCCAAUCUAGCUUUUGCUCUGUUCUACCUUGGAGUGUUACCAUCUUUAUGUCAAGAAUGUCAUGAGAAUUGCACCACCUCUUAUGAAUUCUUGACGCAGUGAUACUUCUCGCCAUCAUUAUUCAUUCCUCGGUCCCGUGUUGUUGUAACCGAAAUGCCGACAAGUGUACUGUGAUGCGCAAAAUCAAUACUCCUAGCAACUCCGUUGCUUGGUAGUUAAUGGACAAUACUCUCAUUCUUAGCGUGCUGGUUAUUGAAUUAUCAUUCUAAGACUGAUCGAGCUACCUAGUCCAUAUUUCUGGUGCACUCUUCAAUCAAUGAGUUAGGAGUUUGUCAAUCCUUCGCUCGUUAGAUCAUAUCAUCUUGCCUGAAGAGCAAGAUUGUUCCCGAGCUUAGUAACAUAUCGGUGGUUCGUGAUUUUCCAGAUAUCUUCUCGGAAGUAUCACCGGGUUGUCACCUGACUGCUAUGUUGAGUUCGUCAUCAAGUUGGGUUUUUGUAACCACCCCUUCUCCAAGAAUCUGAGUUGGAUACCCUGAACUGGUUGGUUAAGCUAAACAAUAACUUGGAGAGUUGGAAGAUAAAAGCUUUAUCCGACUUAGUUCAUUUUAGGGGAUAUCUUGUAUGUGUGUUGAAGAAAGAUGGUAUUUUCAUCGAUUGACCCUCGUGAUUAGUUAAUGGACCUAUCAUCUUAUCCAAUCUUUGAUUCGAGUAUGGGCUAUCCUCUAAUCAUAUCAGGACCAACGAUAUUCGUAAUGUUGUCUUACUCGUGAUUGUUUCCUCGAGCAUACAUCAUUAUAUCUUUUGGGUCUGACCAAUGCUAUAACCUUGUUCACAUAGUUGUGGAAUUCCAUCUUCAUGGAAAUCUCGAUGAUUGUUGUUGAGCUCAUCAUCAACAUUUCAUCUUGUCCAUGAUUCAUGUUGAACAUCUAAGUUAGUGUUGGAAACUUUUGUAAGCAUUUCUUCAUCUCCCGUUCAUGAAGUAUAUGUUUUGGUGAAAGAAGUGACUUUCUCCAAGUUCACAUGCAUUAGGUGUAAGUUGCCGCCAUGAAUUUGAGAAAGGUUUGUUUUGUUUCCUCUGGAAUCAUCCCAAAUCAGUCAUGCAUACGUGCGAAGUAUUCUAUGGUUUGGUAGAUUAAUUACCUCCACUCCAUAUGUAUUCCCUAGCACACCAAGCCACUGAUUGAUUUGUUCAAGGAGAAGAAGUUCCUUCCUAAGAGCUAAUCCAGACUUGUGUAAGGACUUCGAUAUCCCCGAUGAUGGUUCCUCACCUGAACUUUGGUAGUGUUUUAUUGUAAGACUACUAUGUGGUCAUGCUUGUCUUGGACAACAUGUUCACAUGUGUGUAGUAGAACCAACUCAUGUUUUGGAGCUUGCUAUCGUAGUUCAUCUCCCGAGAGUCUCGCAACGUUAUCUCGUCGACUUGUGUUGCAACCUUUCUUUUCUGGACAUGUUGUCUGAAAAAAUCCUGUUACCAACCAGAUCUGAAUCUCAGGCAGAUAUGAUGGCUGGAACAUUUCCAAGAUCUAUGAUGUAGGUCCCGACGAGGUUGAUGUUCUGGACGACACACCUAGUCGGAAGAUCUAUUAUGGUAGUAUCUUGAAUGAGCAAUUUGACCAUCUUCUCCAUGAGGAUUUGGUAUGACUUAUUCCACAAGUUGUUCCUUAUGGAUUUUUGUGCUCCCGAAGUCCGACCUUUACUUGAUGGCCAUGUUGAUGCUUUUAAGCAUUGACCGUGGUACCUAGUACAUCAAGGAGAACAUUGGAAGCGGAGUGCUAAAUGUCUUUUGGGCGAUCAUCCAGAUUUGCUUCUUUGGCAUUGCUAAGGAAAAAUCUGAGAAAGUGAUGUCCUCCUUGCAUCUGCUUCCUCCAUCACCGUUCAUCAUGGUAGUAUGAUGUGUUGCCAGGAUCCUCGGCACGGAUGUUCGUAAAACCUUGAUGAAUAAGGAAAUGCUUUAGUUCUUGAGAGCACGCUCAGUCACUGGGUUAUAUCCUCGGUAUCAAUUGCAAUGUGCCUUCCAUUGCCGAGUUGUCCUAUAACUCUAGUUUCCUCUCCAAACUGAGUAUGCCAUUCUUUCGAAUUCAUUCAAACAAUUAAUUGUGAUUUUCCUUAGGCUGGUAUAGAGAGUUUGAAUGAUCUCUGUAUCAAAAGUAAUUCUUUUUGCCACUUAAGGGAAUAAUUCUACAAGUCACCUUCCCCGAGGUGUCCCGUUAUGGAAUCAUGGCAAUUAUCUCGUCACUACCUUGAAAACCAUGCACUAUCCUACUCCAGUAUGGAAUUGUCGCCUACCAAUUUGAACCUUUAUCAUAUGUUUCUCAUCCAUCAUCUCUGAUGUGUGUUUUGCGUCUUAGCUCAAGGGAUGUUUCUACGUCUCAUUCCGUGAGUUGAUCUUGUGUUCAUUAAGAUCGAUGAUCCAUUCUUGUGAGGUUGUCUUGCUCUCUUGUCGCCAUGUUGGAUGAAGUUCUCGAAGGAAAGGAUGUCAUAAUCAAAGAUGAUGAUCGAAUCAACGUUCUUAUGAAGUGCAACAUGGAUCGUGAAGACUGUGUCAUUUUCGUGUCCCCUCUGUCUUCUUACCUCACGUCUUGAAUAUCGGGACGAGAUUCUUGUUUAGUGGGGUGAGUUGUCACAUCCCUAGUUCUGGUUUGCUCUGGGAUAGCUAGUCAUGUGUGCAUCAUGUUUAAAAUUCAAUGAAUUUGAAAUGGGGACUUGUGAAAGCCUCAGAAAUCAUUUUGAAAAUGAUCAAGAUAAAAAUUGCUUCAAUUUGGCCCAAGAAAAUGUUCCUGUUUUUCUCUAAUAGUAUUGGCCAGAGUUAAAAUUCCAACCAAUAUUUUUGGGAGCUCAGAAGUAUUUAUUUUUGGCCAUUUGAGUUAAUCCAGUAAAUAUUUGCAUUGGAUAUAUAUAUAUAUGUUAUAUAUUAUGUAUGUCCAAUAAUUCUGAUUUUUACUGUGGGGAUCUGGAAUAAUCCAAUUAGUUCCUACAUAAUUUUCAGAAGAAAAUAAAUUGGUUUAGUAUUUUACUAAAUCAGAAACAAAAUUACAGAAAUAGAAAAGAAAACAAAAUAGAAAAAAGGGGAGAAAGGUUUUACCUGGCCUUACCUGAAGCCGGCCCAGCUGGCAGCCCAGCUCGCUGGCCCAGCCCACCUGGCGCCUCCUGUUGUCUUCCUCCUACCAGUAGGAGCACCUGCGUGCUCGCACGCGCGCGGCCGAGGAGGCCAGCUCCUCCCUGCCUGCCUGCCCCUCCCCGACGCGUCUGGACGACGCCACGCAACCCCUCUGGCCCUCUCUCACUCUCCCCGUGUCCAUCCCCCUCCUCUGCUCUCUCCGCAGAACACCACCGAACGCCACCAUCGCAGCCACUCGCCGCUUCCGCGGCUACAGCCAUCCUCUCACCCCUCUGUCUUGUCCAAUAGCACCGCCGUUGAGCUCCGCCUCCCCAAGCCGAAGGAACCGAGCCUGCACGCCCUGCAUCACCUCCACGCCAUCGUCUUCAACCUCGGGUUGACCGAGAUCGCCGCCGCCCGUACGCCACCGUCAGGCCGCCCCCGAGCUCACUGUCUCCUUCAUCCGAACCGCCAUGAGCCCCUGCCUCUUUCCCCUCUCUCCCGUGCUCUUUUCCUUGACAUAGCCGCCACUUCGCCGACGACCGAAUCGCGCCGCCGCCUGAGCCCCUCGCCGCCGUGGCCACAGUCACCGUAGCCCCCAACCGAGCACACCCACGUGCUCACCGCACCUCGUAGAGGCCGUAGGUGCUACGCCCGCAUCGCCACGCCCGCUGCAGCUUCGAACCAGAGCUUGCCCGAGCUCCGGCUGCCGCUAAAGCUCGUCGCCGGCCACUUUCUGGCCAUCCCAGCACCACCCGCCACCACCACUAGAAGCGCCGCAACGCUAGGAACCCGUAGAGCCCUUCCGCGCGUUGUGUGGCUGCCCGUAGCUCAAACCCGAGCCGCGCUGCCAUCGUUUUGGUCGCCACCGGCAAGGCUCCGACGACUGCUGACAUGGCUAAGUCAUUAGCAGCUAACAGUCCCACUAAUUAAACCUAGAGGCACUGACAGCCGGGCCCCACCGACUAACUAAACUUGGUUUAGUGUUUGUUUAGAUUAAACUAACCCUGCUGGCCCACAGGUCAGUUUGACCUGGCCACAUCACCUAUUGACCGACCCCACCCAUCAGCGUUGACUUGCUGACGUGGCUGUUGACCCGACCCCACCUGUCGGUGACCCAGACAGCACUGUGUGACUGACCAGUGGACCCCACUGGUCAGGUUUGACCUAGUCAACCGCAGUUGACUUGCUGACAUCACAUCGACGUCAUGCUGAUGCAGUAAGUCAUUUUCUGGAUUUAAAAUAAUUAGGAAAUUCCAUAAAAUGUCUAAAACUUCUAAAAAUCAUAGAAAUUAAUCUAUAACUCAGAAUGAAAUAAUAUAUAUGAAAAAUUAUCAGAAAAAUUCAAGGAAUCCAUCUGUACCGUUUCCAUGCAUGUUUUAACAAUGUAUGUCCUUUGUUUUGGACAAAACAAAUAAAGGGCAUUUAGAUAAUCAUAUAUGGAGUUGGUAUUUGAAUCAUGUAUCCAAACCAACUUCAUUUAAAUCAUAGCUAGAUGCAUUAGCUCAAAUCACAUCAUAUUGCCAUGUCAUGAUCAUGCAUCAUACUGUGGCAUUGCAUUGAUUGUGUUCUUUCUCAGUUGCCGGUGUUUGUCCCCUCUCGGUAGACGUGUAUCGACGAUGAGAACGAUGACACCGAUGAAGUGUGUUCCUCUUCAAAAGUGUCAGGAACGCAAAACCCCCUUGUUCAUUCUGAUAAAAUCCCACUCUCUCGCUCCUGCUCUCUUUUACUGCAUUAGGACAACAACGAUUCAACUGUUACAUGCUGCGGUAGUUGAACCCCUUUGCUUUGCAUGACCUGUCAUUGCCACGGUAAAUAGAUGAAACCCUCUAGCAUGAGUAGGAGUUGUUUGAGCCCUGGUGUGCCUACUCAUUCAUGCUUGUUUGUCAUGCCUGCUAUUGCUUAGAGUUGAGUCAGGUCUGAUUCAUCGGGGAUGAAUUAGAGGUGUGAGAACAUGUCCUACUGUUGUGAUCGAAGUGUGUCAACAUUAUCUGGUAAAGGUGUCGGUGAGAGGCCAUGUAGGAGUACAUGGUGGGUUGUCUCAUUUAAGCCGUCCUCAGGAACUGAGUUCUGUGUUUGUGAUCCAUGAACAACUACUACCACGCAUUGGAAUGCUAAAGUGCCCCUCUCGACUUAUUAAUCAACCUGAUCUCUGUCCAGGAGUUGCAACUAGUUUCUCGUGUUUGUAGGUUGUGUUAGUAGUCUACCAAGUGGUACCCGGUACAGGUGAGCUUGGGACAGACUAGGCACCAUGGCAUGGUGUACCAAACGUAGAUCCAUCCGUCGAGGUGGGCUUGGGAACCCUGCACACAUCGUUUGGGGCCGUGAGCGACACCCCGGCCGGAUCUCCUUGCGGAUGGAACCCGAAUAGGCGAUAAACCUAGACUAGAGACUUGUUGGUUAGUCAGGUCAUGGCCGACUCCCUCGCCAGGCUUUCGCUUGAAGGUUGCCAAGAUACAUGAUGUGUACAUGGUGGUAAGUGGCGAGAGCAUGUGUGAAGAAGUACACCCCUGCAGGGUUAACAUCAUCUAUUCAAAUAGUCGUGUCUGCGGUAAAGGACUUCUGGGUUGCCUGUACAGUUCAUAGACAAGUGAAAGUGGAUACUCUAAAAUGCGCAAGAUAAGCUUGAGUGCUAUGGAUGUCGUUCUCGUAGGGAGACGGGAGCGGAUCCGUAGUGGUGUAUUGAUAUGGUGAAUAUGUGGACUCAUGUGCUCCACCUCAAAAGAGUUACUUGCAGUCGUAGUUUAGGAUAGCCACCGAGUCAAAGCUGGCUUGCUGCAGUUAAACUCCAACACCCCUUUAUUGAUACUGAUGCAUAUGUAGCUAGUUCUGAUGUAAGUCUUGCCGGGUACAUUUGUACUCACGUUUGCUUAAUUUAUGUCUUUGUAGAGAGACUUCAGUCUCACUAGUAGUUCCGCAUGGACCUCGACGUUUAGCUCGUUACCUCAGCUACGAUCUUGUACCCUUGGGAGGGUCUUGUAGAUAGUCAGGCUUCUCAGCCUUCUUCAUUUGUAGUUGUCUGUACUCAGACAAGUUAAGCUUCCGCAUGUGCUUGUUGCUUGUAUGCUCUGUAUGUUGGGUUAUGAGACCCAUGUUUGUAAUAUCUCGCUCCUCGGAGCCUAAUGAAUAAAUACUUUGAGUCGUAGAGUUUUGUUGUGAUGCCAUGUUGUAUUUACACAUAUCGAUCAUAUUGUGUGUAUGAUUGAAAUGCUAGGUAUGUGUGGGAUCCAACAACCUAGUUGUUUAUCCUUGGUAGCCUCUCUUAUGGGGAAAUGUAGUCUUGUGCUUCCAUGAGCCAUAGUAGUCCGCUAUAGCCCGGUUCACCGGAGUCCUACUAGCCCAGCACUACUUCUCUGGAACACUUGACUGGCUGGCAUGUGAUCCACUUCGUUCCUGUGUCUGUCCCUUUAAGGAAAUGUCACGCGGUGACAUCUGGAGUCCUGCCUAGCCUGCUACAGCCCGGUUCACCGGAGUCCUGUUAGCCUAGUGCUACAGCCCGGAUUCGCACGCUGCUGACCGACAUGCUCGAUGUUGAUUCAUGUAUGCCUGUCCCCGUAAGUUAGUGCCACUUUGGGUUCACGACUAGUCAUGUCGGCCCGGGUUCUCUAUCAUAUGGAUGCUAGCAACACUAUCAUAUACGUGAGCCGAAAGGCGCAAACGGUCCCGGGCCAUGGUAAGGCGACACCCGUGGGAAUACCGUGCGUGAGGCCGCAAAGUGAUAUGAGGUGUUACCGGCUAGAUCGAUGUGACUUGGAUUCGGGGUCCUGACAUCGUGGGUGGUUGGUGGUCAGGAGAAAUCCUUGUUGGCUUGUCCAGCACUGACACAGUGAUGCUAGUGGGUGCCACCUUGCCUUCAGAAGGGCAUCGGGUUUACCCUUUCCCCCGCGCCCCUCUGCGUACCGGGGGAAACCCUAGGGCUUGUCCGGGCAGCAACGCCGUUGGCGUCGUGAUUUUUCUUGAAGGUGUUGCUUAGUAUGCGGCGGUCCGGACUGCUUGGAGUGUGGUGGAAUUCUCCGGUGGGCGCAGAGGUUGCGAGUCUCCAUCGUUUUCUUUGAUCCGUCGCUGUUCACAUUUGUUUCUUUUUCUAUUUUCUCUUUCGUUUCUUUUGGGCAUGACUGUGCUGCUUCCGUCCUAGCACCUAUCGUAGGCUAUAUCAGUGAUGGUUGCUUUGUAAUUCAAAGCGGGGGAAACCCUUUUUCGUAACAUCAAGUACCGCAUAAGACAAAUAAAGAAUGUGUGCUGAGGCCUCAAUACAAACACGCCCAAGAAACACAAGAAAGAAAGCAUGAAAUAGACCACCAAGUGGCCACCCCAUCAGGGAGACGCGAGUGAAGCGAGGUGACGAGCCGUGCCAUGAAGCGCAUCAUCCCCGCCCGGUCACCAUCCCGCUGCCUAGCCAGCGGGUGCUAGUGCUAUAAGAAGGCAAGAAAUUUGAAGUAGGAGUCAGGGGCCCUACGAUGGAAGACCCGCUAUCACCAUUUUAUUACGCGUCAUCCAGAGAGUCCAAGCUAAUUCUGCGACAACUAAGCAAAAAAGCCGCGCUUUUCGCCCUGUCUGGGCAGCUAUAGCCUGGAGAAAGCCUGCCAGGUCCUAAGCCUCCCAGGCUGGCCAAGAGCCUCCCGGACAAAGCACCACAAUACUCACAUUGUGCACGUGAAGAGGACAUGUGUCCUUGUUUUCGGGUACCCACAUAAGGGGACAACCGAUUACCCUGGUCUUACCUCUGUAGCACCUCCGUCCCUGACGGUAGGCGAUCCCUCAACAAUUGCCACACAAUUUUUUGAUCUUUAAUGGGAGUGGCGCCUUCCAAAGAGGGAGGGUCCAUAGUUAUUAGCUAGAUGACUUAUUCUCUUUUUUUGGAUCUCAAUACAAAGUUCUCCCCCUCUCUUGUGGAGAUCUAUUCAAUGUAAUCUUCUUUUGCGGUGUGUUUGUUGAGAUCGAUGAAUUGUGGGUUUAUGAUCAAGUUUAUCUAUGAACAAUAUUUGAAUCUUCUCUGAAUUCUUUUAUGUAUGAUUGGUUAUCUUUGCAAGUCUCUUCGAAUUAUCAGUUUGGUUUGGCCUACCAGAUUGAUCUUUCUUGUAAUGGGAGAAGUUCUUAGCUUUGGGUUCAAUCUUGCAGUGUCCUUUCCCAGUGACAGUAGGGGCAGCAAGGCACGUAUUGUAUUGUUGCCAUCGUGGAUAACAAGAUGGGGUUUAUAUCAUAUUGCAUGAGUUUAUCCCUCUACAUCAUGUCAUCUUGCUUAAAGCAUUACUCUGUUCUCUUGAACUUAAUACUCUAGAUGCAUGCUGGAUAGCGGUCGAUGUGUGGAGUAAUAGUAGUAGAUGUAGGCAGGAGUCGGCCUACUUGUCUCGGACGUGAUGCCUAUAUACAUGAUCAUACCUAGAUAUUCUCAUAACUAUGUUGAAUUCUGUCAAUUGCUCAACAGUAAUUUGUUCACCCACUGUAAUACUUAUGCUCUCGAGAGAAGCCUCUAGUGAAACCUAUGGCCCCUGGGUCUAUUUUCCAUCAUAUUAAUCUUUCAAUACUUAGUUAUUUCCUUUGCCAUUUAUUUUACUUGCAUAUUUAUUUCUCGUUAUCAUAAAAAUACCAAAAAUAUUAUCUUAUCAUAUCUACAGAUCUCACUCUCGUAGGUGACCGUGAAGGGAUUGACAACCCCUUUAUCGCGUUGGUUGCGAGGAGUUUAUUUGUUUGUGUAGGUGCGAGGGACUCGUGCGUGGCCUCCUACUGGAUUGAUACCUUGGUUCUCAAAAACUGAGGGUAAUACUUACGCUGCUCUACUACAUCACCCUUUCCUCUUCAAGGGAAAACCAACGCACUGCUCAAGAGGUAGCAAGAAGGAUUUCUGGCGCCGUUGCCGGGGAGUCUACGCAAAAGUCAACAUACCAAGUACCCAUCACAAACACUUAUCUCCCGCAUUACAUUAUUUGCCAUUUGCCUCUCGUUUUCCUCUCCCCCACUUCACCCUUGCCGUUUUAUUCGCCCUCUCUCUCUCCAUCCUCCCUCUCUUUCUCUAUUCGCCUCUUUUUGCCCGUUUCUUGUUUGCUUGUGUGUCGCGUUUCUUGCUUGUCACAAUGGCUCUUUCUAGAUUUGGUGAUCUCCACCUUAAAAGGUUAGAAGAGAUCGAAAGCAACGUCAAGAGUUUUAUGGUCUUACAAUUUGAGCAUAAUAAUUUCUUUAGAAAUGAGCUUAAAGAACAAAAAAUCUUUAUGGGUUAUAUGAAUAAAGAGCUCGAUGAUAUGUCUAAAGAAUUUGAUGGUUUAAAAUCUCAGAUUGCUCAUCUUGAGAAGUUAAUAGCUGAAGUUCUGGAUAAGCAAGCCAUCUUAGUUAAUAAGAUGGCCGCUAAGCCGGAAUUUUUUUUGGAAGACAAAGAUGAAGAUCUAAAAGUUAUUGAUGUGUCCCCUAUUAAAUCUUUGUUUUGCAAUAUGAAUCUUGAUAAUGAUGGGACUGAAUAUGAUCCACAUUUACCUAGAAGGCGUUCCAAAAUUUUGGAGUCUUUAGAUCUUGAUGCUAAAAUUGUUAAAAGUGGGAUUGAAGAAGUCACAACUUUAAAUAUUAAUGAACCCACUAUUUUGGAUUUCAAGGAAUUUAAUUAUGAUAAUUGCUAUUUGAUAGAUUGUAUUUCCUUGUUGCAAUCCGUGCUAAAUUCUCCUCAUGCUUAUAGUCAAAAUAAAGCCUUUACCAAACAUAUUGUUGAUGCUUUGAUGCAAUCUUAUGAAGAAAAACUUGAGCUGGAAGUUUCUAUCCCUAGAAAACUUUAUGAUGAGUGGGAACCUACUAUUAAAAUUAAGAUUAAAUAUCAUGAAUGCUAUGCUUUGUGUGAUUUGGGUGCUAGUGUUUCCACGAUUCCAAAGACUUUGUGUGAUUUGCUAGGUUUCCGUGAUUUUGAUGAUUGCUCUUUAAACUUGCACCUUGCGGAUUCCACUAUUAAGAAACCUAUGGGAAGAAUUAAUGAUGCUCUUAUUGUUGCAAAUAGGAAUUAUGUGCCCAUGGAUUUUAUUGUUCUUGACAUAGAUUGCAAUCCUUCAUGUCCUAUUAUUCUUGGUACACCUUUCCUUAGAACGAUUGGUGCAAUUAUUGAUAUGAAGGAAGGCAAUAUUAGAUUCCAAUUUCCAUUAAGGAAAGGCAUGGAACACUUCCCUAGAAAUAAAAUUAAAUUACCUUAUGAAUCUAUUAUGAGAGCCACUUAUGGAUUGCCUUCCAAAGAUGGCAAUACCUAGAUCUAUCUUCGCUUUUAUGCCUAGCUAGGGGCGUUAAAUGAUAGUGCUUGUUGGGAGGCAGCCCAAUUUUAUUUUUAUUCCUUGCUUUUUGCUCUUGUUUAGUAAUAAAUAAUUUAUCUAGCCUUUGUUGUGUUUUUUGUGUUUAAUUAGUGUUUGUGCCAAGUAGAACCGUUGGGAAGACUUGGGGAAAGUCUUUUUAAUCUUGCUGUAAAAAACAGAAACUUUAGUUAAUUCUUUUUGCAUAUGAUUAAUAGAUAAAUUCCUCACGUCUAGAUAUUUAUUUUAGAAUUUUUGGGGUUCCAGAUCUUGUGUUAGCUACAGAUUACUACAGACUGUUCUGUUUUCGACAGAUUCUGUUUUUUCGUGUGUUGUUCGCUUAUUUUGAUGAAUCUAUGGCUAGUAAAAUAGUUUAUAAACCAUAGAGAAGUUGGAAUACAGUAGGUUUAACACCAAUAUGAAUAAAGAAUGAUUUCAUUACAGUACCUUGAAGUUUUGUUUUGUUUUCUUUCGCUAACGGAGCUCACGAGAUUUUCUACUUUAAGUUUUAUGUUCUGAAGUUUUCAAGUUUUGGGUAAAGAUUUGAUGGAUUAUGGAACAAGGAGUGGCAAGAGCCUAAGCUUGGGGAUGCCCAUGGCACCCCCAAGAUAAUCUAAGGACACCUAAAAUCCAAAGCUUGGGGAUGCCUCGGAAGGCAUCCCCUCUUUCGUCUACUUCUAUCGAUAACUUUACUUGGAGCUAUAUUUUUAUUUACCACAUGAUAUGUGUUUUGCUUGGAGCGUCUUGUAUUAUUUGAGUCUUUAUUUGUUAGUUUUCCACAAUCAUCCUUUCUGCACACACCUUUUUUAGAGAGACACUCAUGGUUCGGAGAUUGUUAGAAUACUCUAUGUGCUUCACUUAUAUCUUUUUGAGUUAUAUAGUUUUUGCUCUAGUGCAUCACUUAUAUCUUUUAGAGCAUGAUGGUGGAUUUGUUUUAUAGAAACUUUUGUUAUCUCAUGCUUCACUUAGAUUAUUUUGAGAGUCCUACAAACAGCAUGGUAAUUUUCUUUAAUUAUGUUAGGCAUUCAAGAUUAAUAAUAAAAUUUUCUUAUGAGUGUGUUGAAUACUAUGAGGAGUUUGAAACUUGAUAAUUGUUUUGAGAUAUGGAGAUGGUGAUAUUAGAGUCGUGCUAAUUGAGUAGUUGUGAAUUUGAGAAAUGCUUGUGUUGAAGUUUGUGAUUCCCGUAGCAUGCACGUAUGGUGAACUAUUAUGUUAAGAAGUUGGAGCAUGAUGUAUUUAUUGAUUGUCCUCCUUACGAGUGGCGGUCGGGGACGAGCGAUGGUCUUUUCCUACCAAUCUAUCCCCCUAGGAGCAUGCGCGUUGUACUUUGCUUCGAUAACUAAUAGAUUUUUGCAAUAAGUAUGUGAGUUCUUUAUGACUAAUGUUGAGUCCAUGGAUUAUACGCACUCUCACCCUUCCACCAUUGCUAGCCUCUCUAAUACCGCGCACCUUUCGCCGGUAUCAUACACCCACCAUAUACCUUCCUCAAAACAGCCACCAUACCUACCUAUCAUGGCAUUUCCAUAGCCAUUCUGAGAUAUAUUGCCAUCACUACAAAAAAAUACACUUCCGUGAGGAUACGUGUUUGUCACAGUAGGUUGCUUUUUUUGUCAUGCAUGUACAUCCAUGACAAAUUUAUGACAGAACCAAGAUAGUCAUACCUGUGCUGUCGUAGAAGUGUUCCAUGACAUUACCAAAAUUAUCAUCACGGAAGUGUCCACUUCCAUGACAAUAAAUCGCGCGUCACAGAAGUGCUUUCGUCAAGGGUGGCCGACACGUGGCAUCCACCGUAACGGAACGUCGUUAAGCUAUCGGGUCGGGUUUUGGAUCCGAUAACCCGUUAACAGCCCCGACCAAUGGGGAUUUUCCACGUGUAAAAUCAUCAUUGGCUGGAGGAAACACGUGUCGGCUCAUCGUUGGGACAGAUGUCAACCACUCAUUGGACGGAAGGCGCCUAUGAUACAUCGACACGUGGCACGGCCCAACAGAGGCCCAUUCCUAUGAAAAGGCCGGCCCGUUUGACUUGGACAAAAGCUGGCGGGCCGGCCCAUGGAAAGCUUGUUAAUGGCCUGUUCGAAUAUAGCCCAUUUACAGCCCGCUAACCCAAGGCCCAUUUCACCCUAUCCGAAUUAGGCCCAGUAGCGUCAUCUGGGCCAUCCAAUAUGAUUCCAGCCCGUUUUCACUUCUGGCCCACAUAUGGCCCAUGACGUCUUUCGGCCCAUAUGAGGCCCUAUGUAACUCUUGGCCUACUAACGACCCGUGGUGAAACUGGGCCGUAAUGAAUAGUGUAUCACUUUACACCCAUUAACGGCUCAUGGUGAAACUGGCCCGUAAUGAACAAUGUAUCACUUUAUACCCAUUAACGGCCCGUUAUUCCGUUGGGCCGUUUCCAGCCCAUGCUAUCUUUCGGCCUUCUCAGAGCCCAUUUAUUCUUGGGCUCAUUUCCAGCAUUCAUUUACUUACAGCCCGUUACUGUCAUUUUCUGCUUGUGGGCCAAAUUCAGCCCGUGGUUACAGUCGGCCCGUUUGUGGUCCGUUAAUACGUUGGGCCGAUUUCAUAGCGUCAUCAAAUACGGCCUAUUAACGAUGGCCCGUUAUGGUCGGCCCAUGAACGGACGAUUCCAACUCUAGCCCAUUUAUGGCCAUAAUGCGGUCUGUUUGGCCCAUGUUUAGCCAAUCGAUUAUACGGCCCGUAUAAGGCCCAUUGAUAAUAUGGCCCACAGAAGGCCCAUUGUUUCUACGGCCCGUAGAAGGCCCAUUGUUUCUACGGCCCGUAGAAGACCCACUGUUUCUACGGCCAGUAGGAGGCCCAGUGUCACUAUAGUAAAUAUUAGCCCAUGGUUAUUGUGGCCUAGUCUUAAAAAAUAGGUUAUUGCAGCCACUAGCUAACCGCGGAAAAAGAACUGGAAUGUCUACAAGUAAAAAAAUAAACAAGACAACAAGGAAAUAAAUAAGCAAGCAACUAAUGCUAGGCUAUCAUGGCUAUUACACAUAUUACAUCCACUGGGCAUCAAAGUUCGCCACCAGUGCAAAUAUAGGGAACAAAGCAGCAUAUCAUAUACACUGGUUGUCAAAGUUGACGACCAGCGUAAAUAAACGCCGCAGCAAAACAAAUCCAGAACUGAAACCACUUCAAAAGAUCUCAAGAAACAAUAUCCUGGGUACCCAUAAUGCUGGCAAGAUGCUUAGCAAGCUCAUUAACUUUCUCUUGUUUGGCGCUUAAAUCCUCCAGCUCUUGCUGUUGCACCAGAAAAUAUGCAUCUGAAUUCUGCAGGGACUUCCUCACUCCUUCAGCUUCCUGUCGUAGCACAUCUGAUCGAUGUCUUUCAACUUGAAGUUAAGACUCAAGAAGAUGAACUGAUCCAAGCAGCGAGUUCGAAGAGCUUGUGCCAGCGGUAGUGGCCAGUAACUCGAACACUAUAUCAAGACAGGACUUUUGGGUUCCCUCACUGUCGUCAAGAUAUUUUUAUCAGCUUUCUUGGAGACCAACAUGGAUGUCUCACUAUCUUGAACCUUAUCUGCAUUACUUCCUUUACCAUUGGAUAACGGGGUUCUGUUCUCCAAUAUUUUGUCCACAUUCUAAAAGAGAAACAAGCAGACACAUCACAUGUUUACCAUGUUGUAUAUGAAACUCAUUUUGGUAAAUGAGUUCAGUAGUAAAGUGGACAGGAUAACAACAUGAAACAAACAUAUAUCUAUGUACCAUGGUCACUUUAUGGUCUAUAUCAUUCUAGUUUUUGUUGUCAAAUCAAGAUAGAGACACGGUUCAAAUAAUAUUUGUUCAAGACAAAGCAGAAUAGACAUAAUAUAAGGGUGGGUAACUAUAGAGCAAUAACAACACUUGUAAUGUGCAUGACAUGAGAACAUAACUGUUUAUUCAAUUGAAACUGAAAUCAACAUAGAGCAGGUUACAACAGCAAACCAGUUAAAGAAACAGGUUUAAAACAUACCUGUUGCGCCAUUGGAGUUUCAAUUCCAUCCUUCAAAUUUGAAAAUAGUUGGUAUGAGUAAAUACAGUCAUGCAAGAGCAAAGGAGUAUGAACCAUAGCUACAGAACCUGACCUGAGAACAAAUCUUCUUCUCCUUUAAGCGUUGAGUUGGGAUUCGGAGUGGUGGUCCUCGUGCUUUGGGCACUGUAGUUCCCUUACUAACUGCUCGUGUUUGGGUGCUCUGUGGUGGAGACGGUGUUGUGUCAACUGGAACUGGGUUACUAUCUGCCGGGGUUGGGGUUUGAAGGGGUGUAGCUUGUUCUCUGUCCAACUGGGUAGGGGUACAAUCUGCGAGAGUCUGGGUUAUGUGUGGUGGAUCUGGUCCUUGGGCAAGUACAACCGUGGUUCUAUCUGCAUCAACUGGUAGCACUAUCUUUUCUGAAGACCGUGUUGUUACUCCCUUAGAUACUGCCAUCACGCUCUCCAAUUCAAAUGGCUGAUAAACAAGAAAAGUAAUUGAAAGUAUAGACAUUGUAUGAUAGACAGGUGCAAUGGAUAGUGGGGAAUAAAAGAGGGCAUGAAAUAAUUCAUAUUUAUUGUUGUCUAACCAAAUAGGAUAGCAUGACACAAUUUCACAUAUAUGAUGGCUAACUAAAUAGGAUAGCAUGACACAAUUUCACAUUAUGAUGGCUAACUAAAAAAGAUGGAAAGACAUAGUUCAAAAUAUGAGACUAUGUAAAAAGGAUGACAUGACAUAACUAUAUAAUGUGUUUAUUAAAUAGGUUGGCAUGCCAUAAUUCACAUACAUUCACGGAUAGAAUGCCAUAAUUCAAAAUAUGAUGAAUGUAAACACUAAACAGGAUGAGAUGAUAUAACUAUAUGAUGUCUUUAUUAAAUGGGUUGCCAUGCCAUAAUUCAGAUAGAUGUUGUGUAUGUACUAUGUAAACAUGAUGGCAUGAUAUAAUUCAAAUAUAUGAUUUAUAUAGUAAGCAAGUAAGCAGAUGACAGUCCAUAUAUAAUGUAAAAACUAAGCAAUGCAAGACAACAUGCAUGACAUGGGUAAUAUAACCCUGCCAAGUUUGAGCAUGGACCUCAGGGGGAAAAUAGGACCGGUCAUCAGUCUCUGAAUCCUCCUCUGAGGAGCUCUCUGUAACCAGCAAGAUGUCUGUUUCAGCAGGUAGCAUUGUCUGCUCUGAAUACCUUGUUUUCACUCCAGAUACUUCCAUCACUGCUUCAAAUGGCUGAUGCACAGGAAGAGUAGUUGAAUAUACAAACGUUGUCACCAAAUGGAACACGUAAUACAAAAAAAUGAUAGCAUGAUAUAAUUCACAUACAUGAUGAUUGGCUAAACAGCAUGGCAUUGCAUAAUUCACAUAUAUAAUGCCUUUGCAACAAUAUAGCAUUGUAUAAUUCACAUAUAUAAUGUCUUGCAACAAGAUGGCAAUGCAUAAUUCAUAUAUAUGGUAAUUAGAUACUGAACAGGUGGCAUUAACACAAAGCAUGUCUAAACUAAUCAAAUGACAUAGCAAUGCGAGACACCAUACGCAUGAUAUGAGCAACAUAACCCUGCCAAGUUAGAGCAUACACCUCGGGGGGGGGGGGAAUAGGACUGGUCAUCUAUCUCCGAAUCCUCCUCUGAGGAGCUAUCCGUAAACAGCGAGAUAUGCGCUUCGUCAGAUAGCAUAGUCUGCUCUGAAGGCCUUGUUUUCACUCCAGAAUUUGCCAUCACCGUGUCAAAUGGCUGAUGCACACAAAGAGCAGUUGAAUGUAAUAAUAUUGUUGACAAAUGUAACGAAAAAAAGGAUGGCCUGAUAUAAUUUACAUAUAAGAUGACUGGCUAAGCAGGAUGGCAUUGCAAAAUUCACAUAUAUGAUGCCUGGCUAAACAAGAUGGCGUUGCAUAAUUCACAUAAACGAUGAAUAAACUAAACAGAUGGCAUUUGCACAAAGGAUGUCUAAACUAAGCAGAUGACAUAUUUAAUGUAUAAAGUAAGCAAUGAAAGACACCAUAUGCAUGAUAUAACCAACAUCAGCAUGCCAAGUUAGAGCGAAGACCUCAGGGGGUAAAUAGGAGUUGUCUUCUCCUUCUGAAUACCCCUCAGAACAGAUAUUCCCUCUCGAUUACAAUCCGAAAUGCAUGGAGGGGGGCUGCCUUUACACCUACCAUGGAGCGACGUUUGCAUGAAAUUUUAUUGCCACGCAAGGCUAGUCUCUUUUGCUCUACAUGUUCAGUUCCAUUGUUUACAAUAACUGUCCUGCAUAGGAAUAAAACAUAGUGAGAUUAUGUAAGGGGUGCAUGCAGAAAUCCAGAGUGAUGGUAGCAACCUGUGGAUAGACCCAAAACCAAUAAUAGCAGGCAGACAAUGGCUUCAGUUAAAAAAUACAGAUAAUGGCUUCUUUACUGUUUGUUUCCCACCCAACAUGAAACUCAUAGUAGACACCGGAGAUUAACCAGAUAGACCCGUGUAGUCCUUGAGGUCAUCUGCUCGGUUGAUGAUGGUAGUGCAGUUUUCAUGGCUGCUAGCGGCGGGGAAGAAGAUCUGAGGCGACGAAAGACAGUCUGGAGGCCGGAUCCCUGCUGUGCUGGACCCUUCUAUCAUUGGAGCAGCUGAGCUGGGGUGGACGACGACGCAGCAGGAGCGGGACAAACCACGCAAGGUUUUCUUUGACAACUAUCUGUAAGAGAAGUAAUUCUGUAAGGGCUCGUUUGAAUUGGAGGAUUACAACAAUGCAGGGAUAGGAAAUAGAUAGGAAUAGGAUAGGAAUGCACGUGCAAAACAGAGAAUUUAAAAACACAGGAUUUCUGCCAAUCUGGGUGUUUGAUUCACAACAAUUGGAAGAUCACAGGAUGCAAAGAAGCAUGGUGAGAUUAAGUCAAACCACAAGAAAAUGUACGGUUAUAAUGCUAUUAUGCUACUAUCUAUUAGUCUUGUGCUUCAUGAAUAGGAAUUCGAAAAGGAGGACAAGUGAAAAUUAAAAUUCCUACGUUUUUUCUUUCAAGGAGACACUAAAGGAACAAAUCCGUGUGCUUAGUGGACAAUAUAUAUAACAUGUAGAGUAAAAAAGAGAUGCAACAAGUGUACAACCUCUUUUGCGAAGCCAUGUUGAUCUCAGCGUGAUUGGGUUGGCCGGUGAGGAUGCUUCGGCAGACUUGGCUGUCGGAGGAGGGGAAGGAGAUCUUAGGCGUCUGGAGAUGGAGCCCGAGGUACUGCUCCGCUGUGAUGGAGGGUUUCGUCAUUGGAGCAGCUCCGGUGAGUUGUACGACGCCGAGGCUAAAGCAGGACAAGAGAGACAACGAACAAUGUUAACCUGAGUGGAAUUCUAAUAGCAUCUCCAAUACAUGACGUAAAAUACAUAACCACAAAGUGCUAGAUGUAAAAUACAUUAGCCGCUCAUCUUUGAACUUAACUGUCGAAACUGAACUUAACUGUCGAAACCGAACUUAACUGUCGAAACUGAAUUUUGCUGUCGAAACUGAAUUUUGCUGUCAAAACUGGACGCACUAGCAAGGUGAGGCUACACGUCGGUCGACUGACUUUUUCAUCUCUGGUCAGUCGAUUUUGUAGCCGUUGGAUAUGAAAUCAAGGGCCUGCGGUUCAUCUUCAACCUCCACCCCCUGAGCCGGCCAAACAGCAGCCCCCCGCCGGUCCGCCGCCGCCCCGGCCAUCCCUCUAGCCCCCCAGUGCCGAGCUUUUUCUCCGGCGAUCCCCACGCCACCGCCCCGCCAACGCCCCGCCAUCGCUGGUGACCACCGCCCCCAUCCUGAACCCUAAGAUAGAUAGUGGGGUACCUCUCCGGUGAGCCCCCCUCCCUGCUGCGGCUGGUUCUUCCUUCACCCCAGCGGCAUCGGAGUGAAGUGUAGCUAAAUCGGAGGAGCAUCGCAAGCAAGAGCAAGAGCGAGAGCAGCAACGCGAGCAAGAGCAAUAGCAAGAGCAGACCAGGCAGGGGACCGAGAGCAAGAGCAGAGCAGCAACAUGAGCGAGAGCUAAAGUAGCAGCAGGUCCUACUAAUGUGGACGUCGCCGCCGAGGGAGCGACGCCAUGGAGGAAGUGGCCGGCGAUGCCGCCGUGGAUGGAGCCGCGCCGUGUCGGCUCGGGACCGAGCGCCGGCAGCACUGUGAGAUCGAAUCAAGAAGAAAAUGCGACGAUUAGUGUACAACCUCUUUCGUGGCGUCGAUUAGGCCGCAACUUCAUGCAAGGAAACGGUGAUGAUGAUGCUCUUCCGGUGGUGCAGGUGAAGACGGCGACGUGGGAAUGGAGGUGGCGCGAAAGACGAGGGGAACGUUGGAGCAGCUCCUUGGAGGUGGAGGACGGGGUGGCUGAACCGGCGGGAUGAUGAGAUCGACGACGGAUCCUCAUCCGAUACGGUGGAUGAGGGACGUCGAGGUGUUGUUGUGGACGACAUCGUCGGGGAAGAGGCUCCGGCUGGGUGGCGGACGGAGCAGGGUGUGGGGUUUCGUCGCGGGUUUUUGCGCCCUCGGUGUACGAAUGGGUGGGCGGAUGGGAUGGCAGUGGGGAACCAUGGCUUAGAGACGCGCUUGUCCGAAAUGUGGGGUAAGUUACGAAAGUACCCCCACCGAUUUGAGGCGGUUCUUUCGGUUCAGGGGUACCACGGGCAUUUCGCGUGUCGGGAUUUCACAGGAGGUGGGAGUUUUCACGCGCGUUGUAAUUUCGGAAUAGCAAGGUGCGGGUUGAGAUGGAGGGAGUUGUCGGAGCACAACGAGACAAAGAUAUAUCUUAAAUAUUUCGGGCUAACAAGGCGCGGGUUGAAAUUUCCGGACAAUCCUAACGUGUACUGUACCAAAUCAAUGCGCCCUACAAAUGUCAUUCAAAACUUUGAAUUCAUGUUAUGUUCAAUUAAAAUAUUUCGCUACGUGUAUAAUGCAUGCAACCUACUACUCAAAUGAACGUUUUAGUGCAUUCCAAACGUAUAUACUACCGCUUCAAUAUGAACUAAAUUUGAAUUCGUUUCUCUAUUUGAAUAAGAUCUACAGUAAUGAUUGUUGUGAAGUCAAAGCAUUUGAAUUUGUUUCUCUAUUUUAAUAAGAUCUACAAUCAUCAUUAUUGUCAAGUUAAACCAUCGUUUGUGUAUUAUCUUCACAGCACACCACAUGAUUAGUCUCGAGUUACAUAUGCACUAUGUGUACUAUAUGAGCUUGAACUAGAUUUUUUGAAUCCACUUUAUUUUGAUUUCAAAUCACAUUACAUUUCUAGCUCUAGCUAGAUCUUCAUAAUCUAAACCAUUUCUCAUAUGUAUAAUGUGUUUAUCACAUUAUGUAUGGUGCCCCGCCCCAUACGCCUACAAGUAUUUAGAUGUGAGUUGCAAACAUCACACAUUACCACAAAUUCAAAUAAAAUGUGAGAAUGUUCGAUAUAUAGUAUUGUUUAGAUUGUUCGAUAUUUAGUUGUAAGCUACAAACGCCACACAUUAUCACAAAUUCAAAUAAAAUGUGAGAUUGUUUGAUGUAUAGUAUGGUUUAGAUUGUUCGGCAUUUAGCUGUGAGUUGCAAACACCAUGCAUUAUCACAUUAUGGUAUGACAUGUGCACAUCAUGUGUAUCACCGCUAUAUUCAUGCAUGCAAUGUUUAAAACACUAUGAUCUCCUAUUCAAAUAUAUGAAUCCGCUUUCAUAUCAAAUUAUGAUCUUUGUUAGUCUCUUACACCCACACAAUCCUCUAACCUUUGUAGCUAACACUAACUUUCUCUCGUGCAUGCACAUGCCCUCCUCUCCCUCCCCCUCCCUCGGCAUUCUAUCCACCGGGCACAUUCAAUUUUUUCUUUAGGUCGUUCUCCCACAGUCUCCACAACUCCUUUCCGACACACACCGAUCAAUAAACCUCUCCAGUGAUGCCUGCCUACAACAUACAAACACACCUUCAAUCUCCUCCUUUAUGUGUCCUUGCCUCAUGUCUCUCAUACGGUCAGACACGCGUGUAAACUCUCGCCCCUCUUUUCAUCGCUCUCUCACAACCGCACACUCCUCCCCCUAUCUAGCUAGUAGUUGGGCCUCUCGCACCACCUCCUAGCUCCAUUCUCUCUGUCUAUCCAUCUCGCUGGGCCUUAUUAGCCUCUAACAAAUGGACGUACACCGACCGAUCUCUCGCUAUACAUAUAGCUAGCUAGGUCCUUAUAACUCGUUUUUACCCACACGUCAAUCGAUCUACCUCAUUAGUUGUGUCUCUCCCUUCCUCCGACAAACAACAAUUGAUCUACCGAUCUAGUUAGGUUUUCUUACCAAACACAUGGUUCCCCUUCAUCAUCCAUGGAUGUGUCUCGACAGAUCUGUCACGCACAUGCACACACAGAAACACAUCCCCACUCUUAUUGAUAACAUUGCAGUUCCACCCUCAGUUUGUCUAGUAGGCCUCUCCCACGAUCUUCGAGAAGCAACGCCAUCACCCAUCCAGCACUCUACCCCUCUCCCUCCCUCUCCCUCCCUCCCUCUCUCUCCUCUAUCUCUCUCCCAUCAUAUUUCCCGUCCUUUAGUUAUGUAUGGAUGUCGACCGAUCUCCCUCAAGACAUAGUUGGUUCUCUCCUUCUCAACACAUAUACGAGUCGUUCUACCUCUAUAGUUAGGCCUCUGCCUACCCCUCCCACCACCCCCUCCCCCCACACACACCGAUACAUCGAGCGCUCUAGUCAUGUCUCCCUGCCACACACAAACUUGAAGUGUGCCCGCUCACGUUCCAGUAGGCCAGUCACCCUAUAUCUUUGACUUGUACACACACACAAUUUCGAUGGCUCUCUUCAUCGAUCUCGCACCCACCCACUUGAUCCUCUCUUCUACUCUAUCGAUAGCUAUGACCCCUCCCUCUCUUCUCGUGGAUUGCCCAACCCUCUAUGUAUGAUAUGGAUAGGCCUCCAUUUCACACACAUUUCAUUCAAAAUUUUGUCUAAGAUGUCAUCGACACAUAUUCCCACAAAUAAUUCACGAAAUCAACCCCGCACCCCAGCCCCACCCCAAAACAAAAAACACUCACGAAUGCGGUUUGUAUCUCUCUCACACACCCACGUAGGUGGGGAACAUGCACGAAGAGAAGAGGUGCAUGCACGGCGCACGUACUCCCGUCUCUUUCCCAACCACAUCCACGUGGGUACACGGUGGAGCUCAUUUCUGUGCGAAAAAGGCAGCCCACGUGGUAAUUUGGCACGUGUACUGGUUGUCCAGUUGGUGGAGGGAGGAUCGUCUACCACGGGUGAACAAACAAAUUGCGACUUGACGUGUUAUGUUAAAAAAGGAGGCAAACCAUGUGGGGCCUACCUUAGAGGCAAGGCUCUAUACAUUGGAGUACUUUUGAUGUGUCCCGUCAACUCACAGAACGAGGAGAAGCUUGCUUAGUACGUCAUCUCCCCCGCCCACGGGCGCGGUGGCUCACAGGAUGAGGUGAAGCUUGCUUACUAUGCCUUACGCCCGCUCCCUCGCCCAUGCGCGCGGUGGCUCGCAGGACGAGGAGAAAUAAAUUACUACUCCGUCCGUUUACUCCUCGUCCCUACUACCUUGGUUAUAGAGAUUAUAUCAUAUUGUUUGGAAUAUGUAUGUCCUUUAGUAGAUUUCAAUAUGAACUACUAGUACAUACUCCAAACACUGAUGUAUAUAGAUAUAUUUUAGAGUGUAGAUUCACUCAUUUUGCUCCGUAUGUAGCACUCUCCCUCGCCCCUCGACCCUCGCCCACGUGGUGGACGUGCAACAAUUCAUUCGGUCUCAUAUAGCCAGAACGAUAUAUACUGCACUACUAUUAUUGCUCGAAUUCCCGAAGAGGCGAAGAGCCAAUCGCAAGGUCAAUAUUUUGGAGAUGCCAAGCGCAAGGUUAUAGGAGAACGAGUAGUAGAUGCCGCGUCAUUUAUAAAUAAAGUUUUUUUCUUUAGUGGCACGUACGCAAUAUGAUAGGUUCAUAUGGAGAGAAAAGGAGUACAUAGUCAGGACGGGCCAGCCUACACGGUUGCUUGCGGGGGUUGCUCUCUUCACACUCUCUCGCACAAAACGACUGUGGCCACAUCUCUAACAUCCUGGCGUAUCACAUAUGCUUGGGGAAGGGGUGGAUGCUUAGUGUAGAUGCGGUGGCCGUCGCCGAUGGCGAAAACCCACUAUCAGCACAUCCCGAUCAGGGGUCCCUGCCGUUCUCUCUCACAAAGCCGGUAAGGUUGCCUUCGUCCCUUGCUCACUACCAUGACGUGGGUAGUUGCUGCCUCACGCCGCCCUCCUCAAGGUUCAGCUACGUCCCUCAGGUACAACUCCCUUUACAGCCGGCUUGCACCACUGCUCCAGCUGCCCACAUCACUCCCUGUGGAUAUUUCUCUACUUCUUUGCCCCGCACAUACCUCUACUGGCUUCUACGUACUGUAUUUGUAAUGAGUUUAUGUUUCAUCAACUAGUCCCAGUAAUCUUAUUCUAAUCACGCUUGUUCAAUUUCUUUGCCACAGGGAUGCUCAUCUCGAUUUUGGUGAAACUGCAAAAAUGAUCCGAUGGUCAAAAGGUUGCAAACUUCAUUUAUUAGGAAGCUCGAACGUUGCCAGCAAAUUGAAGCUUGGUCAGGGUUCACGGUUUAAGGGCUAGGGACUGCAUGGAUCAUUUUUUUCUUUAGCUGCCUCUAUUCCAAAAUAAGUGUCAACUUUAGUAGUAGUACAACUUUGUACUAAAGUUUGCACAAAGUUGAGAAACUUAUUUUGGAAUGGAGGGAGUACAUAUUUGCUAUGAUCUGUCAAUCAUUGAGAUGCAAUAGCAUGCAUGUUAGUCUCCUUUGUAUUUGAUGAAAUGUUGCAACGGGCAACCUAGGACGCAAGAUACCUGUAACAGAAGCUGGAAGCUUCAUAACAUUGUACAAAUUUAUCUCGCCGAUAAAUUACAGUACGUACUAUACUAGUAGUUCCUCCAUUCCUAAAUAUAAGUCUUUGUAGAGAUUUCACCAUGAACCACAUGCGGAUGUAUAUAGAUGCAUUUUAAGUGUAGAUUCAUUCAUUUUGUUCCGUAUGUAGUGGAAUCUCUACAAAGACUUAUAUCUACUAGUAAUAUCUAGCCCCCACUACUAGGAAUUCUCUAUCCUCUCCUUGAGCCACGUCAUCAAAAUUGAUGUAGCCGUUAGAUGAAGUAAAUCUGUCCAUAAUAGCCGUCUGAUCUUGACGUUGAGAGGCUCCGCACUAAGCCACAUGCAAGCAUGCAGAAAUACCAUGCCACAUGCAUGUGAGUGAGUUUUAAAUCACAUCAACAUGUCUGCAUGCAAGCAUGCACCGGUAGCAUGCAUGUAAGUGAGCUUUUAAGUCCCAUUAACAUGUCAAAAAGAAAAAUAUAAUCCCAUUAUGCAGUAGGAGUUCAGGAGUUGGCUGAUCUUUUUUCCUUACGUGGGAUGAUCUAAAUGAUGAUGGGAGUUUAUUUAGUUUGGCUACCACAUUUGUCAUGCGGUUAUAGAGUUUUUUUUGUUCUAUGAAAUCGAUAAUUUUGCGUAGAGAGAUAUACCGCUGUUCCGCACCAACGCGCUAGGACUCAUCUAGUAAUAUUUAGGAAUGGAGGGAGUACUAUGUAAAGAGUUAGGUGUUGCACGGUGAUAGUAGUGUGAGGUGGGCCAUGUAAUCACUGAGCCUGCGUGUUUUCACUGCUAUUGCACGCCUCCGGUGUAAGAAUGGAGAAAAUUGUAAUCUAGUAGUAGUAGUAUACCUCCUUUCGCCGAAAGCGUGGGACAUCCAGCAGUCCUACCACCUCAGUAAUAAAGACCAAUGAGCCGUCAAAUCACAUAGACCCAGCAGUAAGUUGGACGGACGAAGCAACCAUCACUCUUGCGCCACUGAGAGGUCGUGUCCGCUCUGCCCGGGCAUGAAUGCGGCACCGAUUCUUUGGACCGGCGCUAACUGUUUUGGGCAGGAAGUGCGCGCGGGCGAUGGAGGGGCUUUGGUGGGCCAGGCUGGUCAGGAGCGGGCGUGGCAGUUGUCCUCAUGUCCCUACCGGACAUGCCCGGAAACGAGAGGAUGCACCGACUCUCGCGGCUAAAAUCGUACGCUACAUAACAUCUCUCUGUAGGAGUAGGUCGAUCUGUCGCUCUCUCUAACACACACAUGGUGUUAAACACACACACACACACACGCACACACACACGCACCUUGGUCCCGUUGCACCUUCUAACGUGACUUAUUACACCUAGACGGAGGGAGUAGUAAGUAUACAAGAUACGGUGGCACACUAACUUAAGUCGAAUACAAGUGGCCAAAAUUUGUGUGCAUGUUAUAAUAAGGAUUCACUUAAAAUAGUACGUGAGCGAACAGAGGGAUCAAUUGGACAGUGUUCCUGAGCAGUAGCAAAAUGUGUGAGGUAAGAUACACCAUUGGCGCUUUUAAUUUUUCUUAUUAAUUUGUUUGUUUCACCCUCUGACUGGUGGGACCCAAUGUACUACGUGGAGAGAGGUAAGGUGACUAAGGCUGCAUUAUUUCUGCACCAUUGUGGAUAGUCUUACCACCAAAGCCACAUGACACGAUUAUGAUUGAAAUCCCAAUGACUCCCACACACACAAAAAAAACACGGCAUGCUUGUCACACGAAUGCAGCAAUGUAUAAAAGGUUAUUUCCUUCUCAUUGAACAUAACGGGAGGGUUGUGUAGCUGGUUAGCCUGUUCGCUCACUCUCUCGCCCUCUCCCUCUGGAGCCUCAGCGCUUGUAGUUGCUAUCUUCACACUCUCUCGCCCUCUCCAGAUCUAAACAAGACUUCGAUGACCUCUCUCUCCCCUCACUGCUGCUCAAAGAGCCGGCAGGAUCCGUCCGCUGGGAAGGGAAGGAGGCUUAACGCUGUCGCCGUCGGCGAGGGACUACCAGCGUAGCUGUUCACUUUCCACCCAGCGGCGGCGCGGGAGGGCCUCUGACCCCUUCUUCUUCGCCGCCGUCCGGUCGCCCACCGAACCACGCCCCAAGAACCUUAAGGUAUAAUUUACUUACUCCACAUGCAUUGCUCUAGCUCCAUGUAUACCAUGAAUCUAGGACAUGGUUCAAAGAGGAAAGGAGUGGGGGAAAGUAGUGGGAAAAGUUGUAUAUAGCAUGAAUCUAGGACGUGGUUCAAAGAGGAAAUGAAGGCGGAGAGUUGUAUAGCAUUAAUCUAGGACAUGGUUCAAAGAGGAAAGGAAUGGGGGAAAGUAGUGGGCAAAGUUGUAUCGCAUAAAUAUAGGAUGUGGUUCAAAUAGGAAAGGAAGGGGCUAAAGUACUAGUUCAAAAAGGAAAGGAAGGGACAAGGCUGUAGAGUUUGAGCAGGACUAGAUUUGCUGCGCUCACAUAGGGAAAGGCGUCUAAAGAUAACAAAUCUGGGACCAACACAAAUAUGCUCCUUGGUUGCUUGUUCUUUGUUGCAACAGACUGGGCAUGACCACAGUACAUCGGUAGAUGCACAUGGUGCUAGUGCGUCCACUGUCCCGUGCAACUCAUUAGUUGUUGUUAAUCUAAGGCCCUGUUUGGUUAAAAACUCCCUAGUCCCUACCUGCUGGGUUCCAGGGACUAAACAUGGACUAGAGGUUAUUAAAUGACAUGCUAAAAGACCAUGUUACCUCUAGUAAUGAACUAAUAGAGACAAGGUGUGAUGCGUGGCAGGGGCAACUAUUGGAAAAAGUCCCAAAAAGACUCCCUCGGGGUCUUCUUUCUUUAGUCCCAAAUUCCCACUUUUAGUCCCUAAAAGUCCCUGCUCUUUGGUUUAGAUGGGACUGACACGGAGUUUUUUUAGUCCCUACACCAAAAUGUCCCUGUAAACAAACACCCUCUAAUAAUGCCGCUGGAAAAUUGAUGCAAUGCCACAGUUAAAAGCAAAUUACAUGUUUAACGAAUUUUAUUGUUAAUAUAAUCUCUAUGUUAAUAUUAAUCAAUGCCACCGUUUGAGAAAUGCUACUGUCUUGCUUUCUUUCCCAUUUAGAUAAGGUAGAUGCUUCUUUUUGUUGGCUUAUGUGUCAUCCACCGUUAUUGACCACUAAUUGUUCCCUUUGCACCUAUGUGUAAAUAGGGUUAUCUGCUUCACCUCGUUGCCAUUGUGACCUUUUGUUGCACUACACAAAACACUUUUGUUUUAAGAGUGUUUUCUGUAGUUCAACCAAAAUGUCACACCGACAGACGUUGCUUGAUUGCUUGAUCUUAGUGGAACUGCACAAGAGGAGAUCUUACUUCCUAUCCGUUAAGGCGAAUUUGGUUCAGAUCUUCUUCUUGUGAGUUGUUUGAAAUCCACAUCAUGAGAGGUCAGUACUAGCCUUCUUUCACAUGAUUCUGCACUGUGCAUUCAUAUGUUGUGCUACUUGUACGAUAAUGUUGCUUGAUUUUGGUGAACUGCACAAAUGGAGACAAGACUUCCAAUCUGUAUGUGCACCAUAAUAUCCCAUUGAGGUAAGAUAAGGAUAUUUCACAAUUGCUGGCCUGUAUGUUUCCACUUUCAUCAGAAAAUUAAGUUUAGUACUAUACUUGUGCUCCCUAAUUGACAUGCUAAAUCUUACAUUGAAGGCAAAGCUUGUUUGUUAUUGAACCAUGUGAUGAAGGGGAAGAACAAGGGGAAGAAAAACAAAAAUCAACUCCCGGUGCUGUCAUGAAAAAGUGGUAUUGUCCUUGAGAAGUGCUUCAUCUGUGCUGUUUUAAAUAUUUCCUUCCCUUUUUUUCGAGCAAACAUUGAUGCUAUCAUUUAGUAGUCCUCUUGUCUUUGCACAACAGGAUCAUCUUCCUCUGUAGAAGAAUAUGGAGUACGUGAAGUGACUAGUUCCGAUUAUGCCAGGAUGAAGAAGCCCUGUCUAUCUUAUCAUCAGAAGGAGCAGUUGAAGGAUGGUUACAUUACUCCCCACAAGACCAAACUAACUUCAGCUCUGAAGGACUAAGAAAAUCUCCAUUUUUUUGCUGUGAUGCAUGAGUACAAUGUUGUUCUAGGAUUCUUUCUGGUGAGUUCCAUUUUUCUAAAAGUGUGCUCUACAUGGACCAUGUAUGUGCCUGUUGAAACUGUCAAUUCAUAGUACAGUUUGCUCUAUACUAAUCACUUUUUUUGUAUUUGUGCAAACCGGGGUGCUCAGCUUGAUUUCAAUGGGAACUGCACAAAAUGUUCAUGAAUACAUCGAAUCAUUCAUUUCCACCACAAGAAAGGAGGUGCCGAUAAGUUCAAGGUGUUGCAACAUAUAAGGGUGAAAUCAUACAAGCUACGCGCGAAUUUGGUUGAUUUUGGUGGAACUGCACAAAAAGAACAGCUGGUUUAUUUAGCACGAGGUGCCAUGUCAAUGUCCGAACUGAUGGCAAACCCUAUCCAUUCCACAAUCGUAGGCAUUUGAUAUUUUGGAAUGGGACAACCUUGUCAAAUUUUGCUCAUUGAUUUUAGCAAGACAUGCGUUUGAUAUUUUCGAAUGGGACGCCCUUGCUGUCAGCAGCGUCGAUCAAUUUUUUAUUUAUUCUUUAGUUGUGAAGUAAAUAUUGCCUCUGACAUGUGAGUCACUGAGAUGCAUAAUCAUCGAUUGUUUUGAAUGUUCCCUAUGAAUUGCCAGACCUGUGUGUUUGAUUGCAAUGUAUAGAAACGCUAAAAACUUGCUCAAACUCUUUGUACUCCUUCUGUUCCUUUUUACUUUGCACAUUGUGAAAGUGCAUACUUUUUUGUAUAAGAUUGGUCAAAGUAGAGAUACUUUGACUGCAGACAAAACUUGUAUGCAGACUAGAAAGGACCGGAGGGAGUACAUGUGAAACUGCUGCAAACGAGGUGAUCACCCUGGGAAUAAUGCUAGUACAUAUUGUUUUGCAUGUUCAUCCAAUGCCGGUGAUACAGGAAUUCGAACUAAUCGAAAUAAAUUCAUUCAUACACGGUCGGAUUUCAUAUAAACAUGCCAGAUUUCAUUACAUUUCAUACAUUCUUCAACUAAAAAGGGGUGCACUGGAGGUAUAAUUAAUUAACCGAAGCUACCCACCUGUGUCCCGAUGAGCCGAACAAAAGCUUCAAUGACUUAACUGCAGGUGCAGUUGCGUAACUGACAUGUGGCCUGUUGGGCCCACGUGUCAGUCAGCCAUGGCACCAGCAGUUAAGUAGAAGCAGCGUUAUUCUCCAGCAGAACUCCCCGACUCCACGUCGCCGCCAAGAAGCUAACCGGCCGUCAAUGGUCAACCCGCCUAGCUUGGCUUCAACAGGAGGGUAGCAGCAGUGGCCUUACUUGGACCCGAGCGGCAGUGACCUACCGUGUUCUACUCUUCCUCGUUUUCUGUGUGGCGCGACCUCGUUGGCAGCAGGGCGGGGCCUUGGCGGAGCCGGCGAUGUCCUCUGUCUCAUUGCCAGCGGGCGGCACCUUAGCGGAGCAGUGGAAAUCCUCCCCCACGUUGUCGACAGGGUGGGGCCUCGGCUGAGCCGGCGAUGUCCUCUGCCUCGUUGUUGGCGGGGCGGGGCCUCGGCGGAUCCGGCGGUGUCCUCUACCUCGUUGUUGGCACCGCGGGGCCUUGGCGGAGCAGGGCCUCGUCGACGCCAGCGGAGCGGGGACUCGUCGGAGCCGGCAUUGUCCCCUGCCUCGUCCUAGGUCUCACCAAACAGUGCCUCGCCCGCUUCAUCGCCCUCUUUGCUAGCCUCUUUGUAGGCGGCCGCAGCCUCCGCCACCCGCAAGUGCUCCCGCCAGUGCUCGAGGCGGCCCUUGCGGGUGGAGCGGUAUGAGUCGAGCAGCGCCUCCUGCUCCGCCCGCUCCGCGGCGAUCUGCUCCUCCGCUUGUAGAUGCUCCUGGAGGAGAUGGUGGUUGUAGGCGGCGUCGGCCUGCGCCUCCCGGAACUGCUCCUGAUGCAUCUGCCUCACACUGUCCAUAUAUUGGGCACGGGCCUCGCCGAUGGUCAUGGUGAAGGAAAUAUGCCCUAGAGGCAAUAAUAAAGUUAUUAUUUAUUUCCUUAUAUCAUGAUAAAUGUUUAUUAUUCAUGCUAGAAUUGUAUUAACCGGAAACAUAAUACAUGUGUGAAUACAUAGACAAACAGAGUGUCACUAGUAUGCCUCUACUUGACUAGCUCGUUAAUCAAAGAUGGUUAUGUUUCCUAACCAUGAACAAAGAGUUGUUAUUUGAUUAACGGGAUCACAUCAUUAGGUGAAUGAUCUGAUUGACAUGAACCAUUCCAUUAGCUUAGCACCUGAUCGUUUACUAUGUUGCUAUUGCUUUCUUCAUGACUUAUACAUGUUCCUAUGACUAUGAGAUUAUGCAACUCCCGUUUGCCGGAGGAACACUUUGUGUGCUACCAAACGUCACAACGUAAAUGGGUGAUUAUAAAGGUGCUCUACAGGUGUCUCCAAAGGUACAUGAUGGGUUGGCGUAUUUCGAGAUUAGGAUUUGUCACUCCGAUUGUCGGAGAGGUAUCUCUGGGCCCUCUCGGUAAUGCACAUCACAUAAGCCUUGCAAGCAUUGCAACUAAUGAGUUAGUUGCGAGAUGAUGUAUUACGGAACGAGUAAAGAGACUUGCCGGUAACAAGAUUGAACUAGGUAUUGAGAUACCGACGAUCGAAUCUCGGGCAAGUAACAUACCGAUGACAAAGGGAACAACGUAUGUUGUUAUGCAGUCUGACCGAUAAAGAUCUUCGUAGGAUAUGUAGGAGCCAAUAUGAGCAUCCAGGUUCCGCUAUUGGUUAUUGACCGGAGACGUGUCUCGAUCAUGUCUACAUUGUUCUCGAACCCGUAGGGUCCGCACGCUUAAGGUUUCGAUGACAAUUAUAUUAUGAGUUUAUGAGUUUUGAUGUACCGAAGUUAGUUCGGAGUCCCAAAUGUGAUCACGGACAUGACGAGGAGUCUCGAAAUGGUCGAGACAUAAAUAUUGAUAUAUUGGACGGCUAUAUUCGGACACCGGAAGUGUUCCGGGUGAUUUCGGAGAAAACCGGAGAGCCGGAGGGUUACCGGAACCCCCCCGGGAGAAGUAAUGGGCCAUAUGGGCCUUAGUGGAGAGAGAGAGGGGCAUCCAAAGGUGGGCCGCGCACCUCCUCCCCCCUCAUCCGAAUUGGACUAGGAGAGGGGGGGGGGCGCCCCCUUUCCUUCUCCCUCCCCACUUCUUUCCCCCUCCUAGUAGGAGUCCUACUCCUACUAGGAGGAGGACUCCUCCUUGGCGCGCCAUAGGGGCCGGCCGGCCUCCUCCCCUUGAUCCUUUAUACAAGGGGGCAGGGGGCACCCCUAGACACACAAGUUGAUCCACGUGAUCAUAUUCUUAGCCGUGUGCGGUGCCCCCUUCCACCAUAAUCCUCGAUAAUAUUGUAGCGGUGCUUAGGCGAAGCCCUGCGACGGUAGUACAUCAAGAUCGUCACCACGCCGUCAUGCUGACAGAACUCUUCCCCGACAGUUUGCUGGAUCGGAGUCCGGGGAUCGUCAUCGAGCUGAACGUGUGCUAAAACUCGGAGGUGCCGUAGUUUCGGUGCUUGAUCGGUCGGGCCGUGAAGACGUACGACUACAUCAACCGUGUUGUGCUAACGCUUCCGCUGUCGGUCUACAAGGGUACGUAGAUCACACUCUCCCCUCUCGUUGCUAUGCAUCACCAUGAUCUUGCGUGUGCGUAGGAAUUUUUUUGAAAUUACUACGUUCCCCAACAGUGGCAUCCGAGCCCAGGUUUUAUAUGUUGAUGUUAUAUGCACGAGUAGAACACAAGUGAGUUGUGGGUGAUAUAAGUCAUACUGCUUACCAGCAUGUCAUACUUUGGUUCGGCGGUAUUGUUGGACGAUGCGGCUUGGACCGACAUUACGCGUACGCUUACGCGAGACCGGUUCUCCCGACGUGCUUUGCACAUAGGUGGCUUGCGGGUGACAGUUUCUCCAACUUUAGUUGAACUGAGUGUGGCUACGCCCGGUCCUUGCGAUGGUUAAAACAGCACCGACUUGACAAACUAUCGUUGUGGUUUUGAUGCGUAGGUAAGAUUGGUUCUUGCUUAAGCCCAUAGCAGCCACGUAAAACUUGCAACAACAAAGUAGAGGACGUCUAACUUGUUUUUGCAGGGCAUGUUGUGAUGUGAUAUGGUCAAGACAUGAUGCUAAAUUUUAUUGUAUGAGAUGAUCAUGUUUUGUAACCGAGUUAUCGGCAACUGGCAGGAGCCAUAUGGUUGUCGCUUUAUUGUAUGCAAUGCAAUCACGCUGUAAUGCUUUACUUUAUCACUAAGCGGUAGCGAUAGUCGUGGAAGCAUAAGAUUGGCGAGACGACAACGAUGCUAUGAUGGAGAUCAAGGUGUCGCGCCGGUGACGAUGGUGAUCACGACGGUGCUUCGAAGAUGGAGAGCACAAGCACAAGAUGAUGAUGGCCAUAUCAUAUCACUUAUAUUGAUUGCAUGUGAUGUUUAUCUUUUAUGCAUCUUAUCUUGCUUUGAUUGAUGGUAGCAUUAUAAGAUGAUCUCUCACUAAUUAUCAAGAAGUGUUCUCCCUGAGUAUGCACCAUUGCGAAAGUUCUUCGUGCUAAGACACCACGUGAUGAUCGGGUGUGAUAGGCUCUACGUUCAAAUACAAUGGGUGCAAAGCAGUUGCACACGCGGAAUACUCAGGUUAUACUUGACGAGCCAAGCAUAUACAGAUAUGGCCUCGGAACACGGAGACCGAAAGGUCGAGCGUGAAUCAUAUAGUAGAUAUGAUCAACAUAGUGAUGUUCACCAAUGAAACUACUCCAUCUCACGUGAUGAUCGGACAUGGUUUAGUUGAUUUGGAUCACGUAAUCACUUAGAGGAUUAGAGGGAUGUCUAUCUAAGUGGGAGUUCUUUAAGUAAAUUAAUUGAACCUAAAUUUAUCAUGAAACUUAGUACCUGAUAGUAUCUUGCUUGUUUAUGCUUGAUUGUACAGAGAUGGCUCGUGCUGUUGUUCCAUUGAAUUUUAAUGCAUUCCUUGAGAAAGCAAAGUUGAAAGAUGGUGGUAGCAAUUACACGGACUAGGUCUGUAACUUGAGGAUUAUCCUCAUUGCUGCACAGAAGAAUUACGUCCUGGAAGCACCGCUGGGUGCCAGGCCUGCUGCUGGAGCAACACCAGAUGUUAUGAACGUCUGGCAGAGCAAAGCUGAUGACUACUCGAUAGUUUAGUGUGCCAUGCUUUACGUCUUAGAAUCGAGACUUCAACGACGUUUUGAACGUCAUGGAGCAUAUGAGAUGUUCCAGGAGUUGAAGUUAAUAUUUCAAGCAAAUGCCCGGAUUGAGAGAUAUGAAGUCUCCAAUAAGUUCUAUAGCUGCAAGAUGGAGGAGAACAGUUCUGUCAGUGAGCAUAUACUCAAAAUGUCUGGGUAUAAUAAUCACUUGAUUCAAUUGGGAGUUAAUCUUUCAGAUGAUUGCGUCAUUGACAAAAUUCUCCAAUCACUGCCACCAAGCUACAAGAGCUUCGUGAUGAACUAUAAUAUGCAAGGGAUGAAUAAGACUAUUCCCGAGCUCUUCGCAAUGCUGAAAGCUGCGGAGGUAGAAAUCAAGAAGGAGCAUCAAAUGUUGAUGGUCAACAAGACCACUAGUUUCAAGAAAAAGGGCAAAGGGAAGAAGAAAGGGAACUUCAAAAAGAACAGCAAGCAAGUUGCUACUCAAGAGAAGAAACCAAAACCUGGACCUAAGCCUGAAACUGAGUGCUUCUACUGCAAGCAGACUGGUCACUGGAAGCGGAACUGCCCCAAGUAUUUGGCGGAUAAGAAGGAUGGCAAGGUGAACAAAGGUAUAUGUGAUAUACAUGUUAUUGAUGUGUACCUUACUAAUGCUCACAGUAGCACCUGGGUAUUUGAUACUGGUUCUUUUGCUAAUAUUUGCAACUUGAAACAAGGACUAUGGAUUAAGCGAAGAUUGGCUAAGGACGAGGUGACGAUGCGCGUGGGAAACGGUUCCAAAGUCGAUGUGAUCGCAGUCGGCACGCUACCUCUACAUCUACCUUCGGGAUUAAUAUUAGACCUAAAUAAUUGUUAUUUGGUGCCAGCGUUAAGCAUGAACAUUAUAUUUGGAUCUUGUUUGAUGCGAGACGGUUAUUCAUUUAAAUCUGAGAAUAAUGGUUGUUCUAUUUAUAUGAGUAAUAUCUUUUAUGGUCAUGCACCCUUAAAGAGUGGUCUAUUUUUAUUGAAUCUCGAUAGUAGUGACACACAUAUUCAUAGUGUUGAAGCCAGAAGAUGCAGAGUUGAUAAUGAUAGUGCAACUUACUUGUGGCACUGCCGUUUGGGUCAUAUCAGUAUAAAACGCAUGAAGAAACUCCAUACUGAUGGGCUUUUGGAACCACUUGAUUAUGAAUCACUUGGUACUUGCGAACCGUGCCUUAUGGGUAAGAUGACAAAAACACCAUUCUCCGGUACUAUGGAGAGAGCAACAGAUUUGUUGGAAAUCAUACAUACAGAUGUAUGUGGUCCGAUGAACGUUGAGGCUUGUGGCGGAUAUCAUUAUUUUCUCACCUUCACAGAUGACUUAAGCAGAUAUGGGUAUAUCUACUUAAUGAAACACAAGUCUGAAACAUUUGAAAAGUUCAAAGAAUUUUAGAGUGAAGUUGAAAAUCAUCAUAACAAGAAAAUAAAAUUCCUACGAUUUGAUCGUGGAGGAGAAUAUUUGAGUUACGAGUUUGGUGUACAUUUGAAAAAUUGUGGAAUAGUUUCACAACUCACGCCACCCGGAACACCACAGCGUAAUGGUGUGUCCAAACGUCGCAAUCGUACUUUACUAGAUAUGGUGCGAUCUAUGAUGUCUCUUACUGAUUUACCGCUAUCGUUUUGGGGAUACGCUCUAGAGACGGCCGCAUUCACGUUAAAUAGGGCACCAUCAAAAUCCGUUGAGACGACGCCUUAUGAACUGUGGUUUGGCAAGAAACCAAAGUUGUCAUUUCUGAAAGUUUGGGGCUGCGAUGCUUAUGUGAAAAAGCUUCAACCUGAUAAGCUCGAACCCAAAUCGGAGAAAUGUGUCUUCAUAGGAUAUCCAAAGGAAGCUAUUGGAUACACCUUCUAUCACAGAUCCGAAGGCAAGACUUUUGUUGCUAAAUUCGGAAACUUUCUGGAGAAGGAGUUUCUCUCGAAAGAAGUGAGUGGGAGGAAAGUAGAACUUGAUGAGGUAACUGUACGUACUCCCUUAUUGGAAAGUAGUACAUCAGAAAAACUUGUUUCUGUGACACCUACACCAGUUAGUGAGGAAGCUAAUGAUGAUGAUCAUGAAACUUCAGAACAAGAUACUACUGAACCUCAUAGAUCAACCAGAGUGAGAACCGCGCCAGAGUGGUACGGUAAUCCUGUUCUGGAAGUCAUGCUACUAGAUCAUGAUGAACCUACGAACUAUGAAGAAGCGAUGGUGAGCCCAGAUUCCGCAAAAUGGCUUGAAGCCAUGAAAUCUGAGAAGGGAUCCAUGUAUGAGAACAAAGUAUGGACUUUGGUUGACUUGCCCGAUGAUCGGCAAGCAAUUGAGAAUAAAUGGAUCUUCAAGAAGAAGACUGACGCUGACGGUAAUAUUACUGUCUACAAAGCUCGACUUGUCGCAAAAGGUUUUCGGCAAGUUCAAGGGAUUGACUACGAUGAGACCUUCUCACCCGUAGCGAUGCUUAAGUCUGUCCGAAUCAUGUUAGCAAUUGCCGCAUUUUAUGAUUAUGAAAUUUGGCAGAUGGAUGUCAAAACUGCAUUCCUGAAUGGAUUUUUGGAAGAAGAGUUGUAUAUGAUGCAACCAGAAGGUUUUGUCGAUCCAAAGGGAGCUAACAAAGUGUGCAAGCUCCAUCGAUCCAUUUAUGGACUGGUGCAAGCCUCUCGGAGUUGGAAUAAACGCUUUGAUAGUGUGAUCAAAGCAUUUGGUUUUAUACAGACUUUUGGAGAAGCCUGUAUUUACAAGAAAGUGAGUGGGAGCUCUGUAGCAUUUCUGAUAUUAUAUGUGGAUGACAUAUUACUAAUUGGAAAUGAUAUAGAAUUUCUGGAUAGCAUAAAGGGAUACUUGAAUAAGAGUUUUUCAAUGAAAGACCUCGGUGAAGCUACUUACAUAUUAGGCAUUAAGAUCUAUAGAGAUAGAUCAAGACGCUUAAUUGGACUUUCACAAAGCACAUACCUUGACAAAGUUUUGAAGAAGUUCAAAAUGGAUCAAGCAAAGAAAGGGUUCUUGCCUGUGUUACAAGGUGUGAAGUUGAGUAAGACUCAAUGCCCGACCACUGCAGAAGAUAGAGAGAAAAGGAAAGAUGUUCCCUAUGCUUCAGCCAUAGGCUCUAUCAUGUAUGCAAUGCUGUGUACCAGACCUGAUGUGUGCCUUGCUAUAAGUCUAGCAGGGAGGUACCAAAGUGAUCCAGGAGUGGAUCACUGGACAGCGGUCAAGAACAUCCUGAAAUACCUGAAAAGGACUAAGGAUAUGUGUCUCAUAUAUGGAGGUGACAAAGAGCUCAUUGUAAAAGGUUACGUUGAUGCAAUCUUUGACACUGAUCCGGACAAUUCUAAAUCGCAAACUGGAUACGUGUUUACAUUAAAUGGUGGAGCUGUCAGUUGGUGCAGUUCUAAACAAAGCGUUGUGGCGGGAUCUACAUGUGAAGUGGAGUACAUAGCUUCUUUGGAAGCAGCAAAUGAAGGAGUCUGGAUGAAGGAGUUCAUAUCCGAUCUAGGUGUCAUACCUAGUGCAUCGGGUCCAAUGAAAAUCUUUUGUGACAAUACUGGUGCAAUUGCCUUGGCAAAGGAAUCCAGAUUUCACAAGAGAACCAAGCACAUCAAGAGACGCUUCAAUUCCAUCCGGGAUCUAGUCUAGGUGGGAGACAUAGAGAUUUGCAAGAUACAUACGGAUCUGAAAGUUGCAGACCCGUUGACUAAGCCUCUUCCACGAGCAAAACAUGAUCAACACCAAGGCUCCAUGGGUGUUAGAAUCAUUUAAUCUAGAUUAUUGACUAGUGCAAGUGGGAGACUGAAGGAAAUAUGCCCUAGAGGCAAUAAUAAAGUUAUUAUUUAUUUCCUUAUAUCAUGAUAAAUGUUUAUUAUUCAUGCUAGAAUUGUAUUAACCGGAAACAUAAUACAUGUGUGAAUACAUAGACAAACAGAGUGUCACCAGUAUGCCUCUACUUGACUAGCUCAUUAAUCAAAGAUGGUUAUGUUUCCUAACCAUGAACAAAGAGUUGUUAUUUGAUUAAUGGGAUCACAUCAUUAGGUGAAUGAUCUGAUUGACAUGAACCAUUCCAUUAGCUUAGCACCCAAUCGUUUAGUAUGUUGCUAUUGCUUUCUUCAUGACUUAUACAUGUUCCUAUGACUAUGAGAUUAUGCAACUCCCGUUUGCCGGAGGAACACUUUGUGUGCUACCAAACGUCACAACGUAAAUGGGUGAUUAUAAAGGUGCUCUAAAGGUGUCUCCAAAGGUACAUGAUGGGUUGGCGUAUUUCGAGAUUAGGAUUUGUCACUCCGAUUGUCGGAGAGGUAUCUCUGGGCCCUCUCGGUAAUGCACAUCACAUAAGCCUUGCAAGCAUUGCAACUAAUGAGUUAGUUGCGAGAUGAUGUAUUACGGAACGAGUAAAGAGACUUGCCGGUAACAAGAUUGAACUAGGUAUUGAGAUACCGACGAUCGAAUCUCGGGCAAGUAACAUACCGAUGACAAAGGGAACAACGUAUGUUGUUAUGCAGUCUGACCGAUAAAGAUCUUCGUAGGAUAUGUAGGAGCCAAUAUGAGCAUCCAGGUUCCGCUAUUGGUUAUUGACGGGAGACGUGUCUCGGUCAUGUCUACAUUGUUCUCGAACCCGUAGGGUCCGCACGCUUAAGGUUUCGAUGACAGUUAUAUUAUGAGUUUAUGAGUUUUGAUGUACCGAAGUUAGUUCGGAGUCCCGAAUGUGAUCACGGACAUGACGAGGAGUCUCGAAAUGGUCGAGACAUAAAGAUUGAUAUAUUGGAUGGCUAUAUUCAGACACUGGAAGUGUUCCGGGUGAUUUCGGAGAAAACCAGAGAGCCGGAGGGUUACCGGAACCCCCCCGGGAGAAGUAAUGGGCCAUAUGGGCCUUAGUGGAGAGAGAGAGGGGAAGCCAAAGGUGGGCCGCGCGCCUCCUCCCCCCUGGUCUGAAUUGGACUAGGAGAGGGGGGCGGCGCCCCCCUUUCCUUCUCCCUCCCCACUUUCCUACUCCUACUAGGAGGAGGACUCCUCCUUGGCGCGCCAUAGGGGCCGGCCGGCCUCCUCCCCUUUAUCCUUUAUAUACAGGGGCAGGGGGCACCCCUAGACACACAAGUUGAUCCACGUGAUCAUAUUCUUAGCCGUGUGCGGUGCCCCCUUCCACAAUAAUCCUCGAUAAUAUUGUAGCGGUGCUUAGGCGAAGCCCUGCGAUGGUAGUACAUCAAGAUCAUCACCACGCCGUCGUGCUGACGGAACUCUUCCCUGACACUUUGCUGGAUCGGAGUCCGGGGAUCGUCAUCAAGCUGAACGUGUGCUAAAACUCGGAGGUGCCGUAGUUUCGGUGCUUGAUCGGUCGGGCCAUGAAGACGUACGACUACAUCAACUGCGUUGUGCUAACGCUUCUGCUGGCGGUCUACAAGUGUACGUAGAUCACACUCUCCCCUCUCGUUGCUAUGCAUCACCAUGAUCUUGCGUGUGCGUAGGAAUUUUUUUGAAAUUACUACGUUCCCCAACACAUGGUGCAAUGCACCGGGGAGGAUGGCGCGGAGGAGGGGGUUGGCGGCAGAUCGUCGACUACCAUGUUCUCCAUUGGGACGUCGUCGUCCUCCGGCUGCCUGCCGGCCAGCCGGUCGGCAGCAAUGGCUGCCAUCUCCUUGUGGUCCGCCGUCCGCCCGUCCCGAAGAGCGCUGGAGCGCGAGGAAGCCAUGGUGGGCAGUAGUGGUGUGGAUAGGAGAAAGGGAACGGAUGCGGAUGACUGCGGCUAUGGCCGGCGCAGUAGUUUAUAUAGCAAUGGUGGGCGGGCGAAGGGACGGACGUGUGGCGCUAGAGUAGUGCCUCGGCAACCGCGUAUCAUUAAUGUGGGUGGCAGAUGGACGGACGUACGACAUUUGUGUCGUUUGAAGACGGAGCAAUCGCCUGCACCGGGAAGCGGGGCGGGCGGCGCUGACUGUUUCGGGCGGAAAGCGCGCGCGGGCGAGAAGAUGACUUUACUUGGAGAGGAUGACAAUGGGGACCCACCAGGUCCAUAGCCUCACGUACGCAAGUGCCUCCUUAUUAUAUAUAUAUAUAUGUGUGUGUGUGUGUGUGUGUGUUCUCCCUCCUUUCCGGUUUAUAAGGCUCAAUUCAAAAAUCUCACCAACCAUGGUAGAUGAUGAGUGGUGGAAUAUUUUUUGUAGUUUGCAAAAGCACCCAAUUAAUGCUCUUGUUUUCCUCAAAAAAAUAUGUUUACGAAUGCAUUAAUUGCAAUGCAUGCAUGCAUAAAGUGCAUGCACUGGUCAGUUUUCUCUUAAUACUUGCAUGCAAUGAUUUAAUGCACCUUGAAGUCUGAACAUGUGAUGGGGAACAACCAAAUUGAGCCUUAUAAAAUGGAAAAACUAAAAUUUUGAGAUAAGCCCUAUAAACCGGAAAGGAGGGAGUAUAAAACUAUACUCCCUCCGUCUAGGUGAAUAAGUCAUAUUAGAAGGUGCAUCACGACCUAGGUGCAAGCAGAUUGGUGGAAAAGAAGAAUAUUUCUCUCUUCUAAACACAACAUUUAAUCACAACAGUUAAGAGGAUGCCUUAUUAGCUACCCAUGCAGGCCAUCGUAAUUCAUAGCAUGCAAAGCACUUUUAUUUCUUGCCUAAUAACCGCAUGGACGUGCUGCAUGCAUUGGUCCUUGCCCGAGCAAAAAAAGGGAGGAAAGGGGUUUCCACGGGAGACAACGAGGUAGGGGUGGAAGCGCUCGCUGGAGUUAUUUAUUUUGCUUCCCCCUGGUUUCCUGACAUCACGGUCCCACACCAUUGUCAACCUAUGUAGUACUAGUCAGUAAACGAGAGAAUAAGAAGCGGCUGACAGCUGGGACCAAGCAGCUCGAGCAGUAUUUGUGUUUUUGAGGUGUGAGCACUGCAGAGUUUUUCGAUGUUUAGCCAGAUAUUAAUUUUUCUCCUCUAAACAACAACGAAAACAUCGCUACAGGUAUUAACUGGGCGGGCUGUGGCCCGUCUAGCCCAGGCCAGAUAUCCAGCCCAGAUAUUAAUUUUUUUCAAGCUGAAAAUGGCUAGCCCAGCUAUACUUUUUUUUAGGAAUACCCAGGCAAGGUCAAGUUGUUAUUCUCCGCCCCGCUGGGCUGCAAAUCUUUCCUAGGAGGGAUGCAUUAGGCUUAACAAGAAAAUGGGCUUUAAGAAAUAAUAAAUGGGAUGUAAUUAUAAAAACUGGCCAGUAACUAUUAAAAAAUGUACCAAAGACAUGAUUACUUUAUAAAAUAUUAUUUUUGCAUAUUGAAAAUUUUAAUUUCAUUAAUUGUUGAGAGCGCAAUGUUUCGUUGGAUUUUUACGUAAUAUAAAUUUAUAUUGAAAUUGUAUUUAAUCUGACUAGAAAUUUCGGGAUAAAAAUAUUUCGGAUCCCAUCAAAAUGUGGGAGAUUUUAUUGAACUCUAUUUUGAACGGUUGGUUGAAAUGGGUUGUACUUUUAACAAACUGUAAAUGGGUUGUACUAAAUUCCAUUAGAACUCAAAAAUGGGCUACACAUUCUUACAAAUCUCAAAUGGGCUAUAAGUUCUCUGCCACACACUUCUGGCCUUACUAAGUUGACGCGUCCCCUAAAAAAACAGAGUUGAUGCGUAUGCAAGGCUUUGUCAACUUAUAGUCAACACACGGUGCUAGAAGUAGUGGCUAUUGGAUGUCCAUCCAACGGAUGCCAUGCUUGUUCUUCAAUCUCGGAUAUUCUAGCUUCACCCGCCCAAAAAAUGAUUCCUCCCCCUGACAUCUGGGGCGCACCGUUUCGAAAGCUGACCUGUGGGCCUACUAAGUUGACGUACCAAGGGCUUUGUCAACUUAGUCAAUAUAAACGAUGCUAGCUACAGUGACCGUACGAUGUCCAUCCAACGACUGUAGUGCUUCUUCAACAUCUGGUCUUCUUGCUCCAGCCACCCAAAGCAGCGCCGGUCGUGCCGCCUGCUCCUGCCUCCCGUGGCCAACUGUUCUGCCGUGGAGGCCUCACCGCCCCUACUAUUCCCACCGCUAGCCAGGCCCUGCGGCGACGGCAGCCUCACACCAUAGCCGAACGAGUGAACCCUCAUACUCCUCUCCGCGUGGGCAUCCACUGCCGUGUCUUCACCGGCUCCGCGUCGUCCCCUUCCUAGGCCUCGCCGUCAUCCACCGCCCUGGUGCUCUCGGUGCAGCGUGGUCAACGUGGAAGGAACAACUUCCAUCGAACGUGGACUGUACAUGGAGAGGCUGACAGCUGGGUCCACGGUGGCCGCAAGGAAGUGCCUCCUUAUUACACGGAAAAUAAUGAUUCCUCCACCUGACAGCAGGGACCCACCAGACGUGCCACCAAUAUUUUGCAAAAAAAUCGUUUCCCCCUGACUGCUGGGACCCACCGGACGGGCCACCGUAUUUCACGAAAAAACGUUCCCCCCGCUGUCAGCUCGGACCCACCGGAAGUGCCUCCUUAUUACGCACAAAAAAAUGAAUACUCCCCCGGCUAGCUGGGACCCACCUUGCUGGGAGGCUGACUUGUGGGCCUACUAAGUUGAUGGGGACGAAGGGCUUUUUCAACUUAGUCAAUAUGAACGAUUCUAGCUCCAGUGACCGUACAAUGUCCAUCCAACGGCCGUAGUGCUUCUUCAACCUCUGGUCUUCUUGCUCCAGCCGCCCAAUGCAGCGCCGGUCAUGCCGCACGCUCCUGCCUCCCAUGGCCGGCUGUGCUGCCGCAGAGGCCUCACCGCCCCCUACUAUUCCCACCGCUGGCCAGGCCCUACGGCGACGGCAGCCUCACACCGCAGCCGAACCAGUGAACCCUCAUAGUCAUCUCCGCGUAGGCUUCCACUGCCACGUCGUCCCCUUCCUAGGCCUCGCCGUCGUCCACCGUCGUGGUGCUCUCCGCGCGGCGUGGUCAACGUGGUCAAGGAACGACUUCCAUCGGAAGUACUGUACAUGGAGAGGCUGACAGCUGGGUCCACGGCCACAUCACAGUUUUUUUGUGAUUUGCCAAGUAAAUCGCUUUGUUAGGCCUAUUGGGCUGCAAAUCUUUCAAGACGAGGAGAGCUUUCAUUCGGCUGGCCGAGAAAAUGGCCCAUCAGUAAUGAGAAAUGGGCUGUACAUUUUUUAAACACAUCAAACCGGCAAUUAGUUUCAAAUAUCUUUUUUUUUCAUUUCAAGAUUUUUAAAUUACAUUAAUUUUUAUGCGUGGAGAAUUUGUUGGAUUUUAUAUUGAUAUACAUUUAUUUUUAAAAUCAGUUUGAAUGUGAGUCGAAAUUUCGGGAUUAAAAACAGUUCGGACCGCACCGAAAUAUGCAAAAUUUCGUAUAAUUUUUUAACCGUUGCCACAAUAUGGGCUGUAAUGCUAACAAAAAGAAUAUGGGCUCCAAAAAACCUUAAGAAUUAGCAAAUGGGCUGUAAAUUAUUAGAAAUAAUGCCAGAUGGGCUCUAUGCUAUUUUCCACAGAUUUGAGGCUUUCCUAAAAAAUGGUUGACGCACAAGCACUAACUGUUGGAUGUCCAUCCAACGGCCGUCGUGCUUCUUCAAUCUCUGCUCUUCCUGCUCCAGCCGCUCAAACAAGCGCCGGCGGGACUGCCUGCUCCCUCCCCCUCGCGGCCGGCUGUGCUGCCGCGCAGGCCUCACCGCCCGACCGUACUCCCAUCGCUGGCCUAGCCAUCCCUCUACUCACCCACACCUGCUGUUAUUCUCCGGCGACGGCAGACGAACCAGUAAACCCUCGUACAGUCGUACUCCCGAGUCUUCCCUACCUCCGUGUCGUCCCCUUCCUAGGCCUCGCCGUCGUCCACCGCCCUGGUGCUCUCGGCGCGGCGUGGUCAACGUGGUCAAGGAACGACUUCCAUCGGACAUGGACUGUACAUGGAGAGGCUGACAGCUGGGUCCACGGCCGCAGCAAGGAAGUGCCUCCUUAUUACGCGGAAAAUAAUGAUUCCUCCACCUGACAGCUGGGAUCCACCGGACGGGCCAAUGUAUUUCAUGAAAAAAACGUUUCCCCCUGACUGCUGGGACCCACUAGAUACAUCUUCGCACGCAAGGAAGUGCGUCCUGGCAAAAAAAAUGAUUCACCCCCUGACUGCUGGGACCCACCAGCUACAUCUUUGCAGGCAAGGAAGUGCCUGACAGUCGGGACCCACCUGGUCGAAACGUACGUAGCGUUGUCAUCCUGGUCGCGAACGUGUACGUACAUACUGGUCGAUGUAGAGGCGCGCACGUGUCGUAGUAGAGGCGCGCACGUAGCAUGUACAUACGGCCACGUAUGUCUACAUACGGGCGGGGUCUCGAACGCCUACUCGCGCAUAUGUACGGCGAGGGCUCGUGUGCAUUGCUGGGUCGGAACGGAGAAACAACAUCGUCGUCGUGUUCAUGGAGAGGCAACGGAAUGCGUCGUGUUCAUGGGGAGGCAACGGAAUGCGUGGGAGCCAACCGGCUGGGUCGGAACGGAAAUGCGUGGUCGUGUUCAUCAGGAGGGCUUGGACAGAACAGGCAAUGGAAACGAGGCCUGGCAUACCGCACAACGGAGGAAAUGGACCUCCUACGUUCAGAACGGGGUCCUGUUGAUCGGGAGGGGUCUGGCGUACCGCAAAAUGGAGGAAACGGACCUCCUACGGUCGAAAUGGGGGUCCUGUUGAUCGGGAGGGGUGUGGCGUACCGCAAAACGGACGAAAUGGACUUGUGUUGGAGCGCUACGGUCGAAACGGGGGUCCUGUUGAUCGGGAGGGGUGUGGCUACCGCAAAACGGGACUCCACGGGAUACUGUUCAUCUUCACCGUCGACCCCCUCCAGCCUCCACGAGCUACUAUUCAUCCACCGUCGACCUCCUCCAGCCUCUAUCUGUGACUGUUCAUCCACGGGCUCCUGUUCAUCCAGCCUCCACCGCGCACUACUCCACCGGCUACUACUCAACCAGCCCUCUCCACGGGCUCCUGUUCAACCACCCCUCCACGGGCUACUGUUCAUCCUGCCCUCCACCAUCUACUGUUUAUCCUGCCCUCCACGGGGUGGUCCUGUUCAUCCAUCCCUCCACGGGGUCCUGUUCAUCUAGCCCCAACCGGCUCGAUCGAUCGGGGUCCUGUUCAUCCAGAGGAAACACCAUGGGGUCCUGUUCAUCCACCCCCACCGGGAACUGUUCAUCCACCCCCCCCCGCAACGCUCACUGUUCAUCCAGAGGCAGCAUCGAUCGGCUUCAGUUAGCAGCAGUAGCGAAGGAAUCGCUCGAUCGGGUUCAGUUAACAGCCAUCGAUCGAUCGCUCGGGUUCAGUAACGCGUAGCCUGCAGUGCAAUCGCUCGGGUUCAGUUAGAGCCCAACGCCUCGCUCGGGUUCAGUGAGAGCCAAUGCCUCGCACACACGCGUGUACGUGUACGAGAGAAACGCGCAUCGCUCGGCCCCCGACCUCCCACCGUAACUAGGAACUCCCCAAAAUUUUCCUCCCCCUCGCUUCUACCAUGGUUUUUUCCGUCAUGGACGACCCAAAGAAUGUCAUGCAGUUGCGUCUCCGGCCCGCCCAGGACGAAAAGCCCAUUUUUUGUCAUGAUUUUUUGUCAUAGAAGUAGGAGCCCACCACAUCUAUGAUGAUACCUGGUUUUGUCACAAUUAUCGUCAUAGAAGUGUCAUAUGUAUGACAGAAAAAAAAA